AGUGCCGUCCCAAAUUUUAGGGUGGCCUAAGGCACAAUUAAAUUAAGUGGCCUUUUAUACAAGUACUAAUGAUAAAUGGUAGCACAAAUAAGACAAACUAAAAAAUAUAAAAUCACUGAAUAUAGUUAAAAUAAAAAAUAUUUUGGACAAAGGAGGGAUCGAACAAGAGUGUUUGCUAACUCAAAGUUUUCUUAAAAAAUAACAAUCAGGCUAACUAACUUGUUAUGUUGUGGCCCUAAAAUGUUCAAUAUAUUUUGUGGCCUAAAGCAAGUGCUUCACUUGCUUUAUAUCAGGGACGGGUCUGCGUGGAACCGCGUGUAUUAGCGGCGCAAUUUGCAUUUGAUAAUGAUCAUUAGGCGCAUUUGAUAAUAAAUAUAUUAUUUUCAAGUUUAUAUUUGGGUGGAUGUCCUUUUUAGUCUCAUGGCUGACAAAGAAUUUAUUAGUUAUUUUCUUUUGCAUGUAUCUAGUUUACAUGGAUUCGAAUUUUCAGAAAAUAUCGAUUAUUAUAUAUUAAUGAAAGCAGCUUUAUUGAAAGUUUUUAAUUUAUUAAAAAUAAUUAACAUUAGUACCAAUAAACAAUAUUUGCUAAACAUUUUCAACGAACUCGGUAUAGUCUUUCGUUGUGCUCACUGCUCAUAUGAGUUAAAAUGAAAAUAUCUGUUGUGAGUAUGUGUGACACACACAAAUCGCCUACAUAAAAAAAAAGUGUCCCUUAAACAUUUUUAUAUUGGAUUGGUUAUCCCUGUUAGAGUAUCUUAUAUAUUAAAACAGAAGUCAUGACUUCUUUUCAUGUGCGAUUUUUUUAGUUUGGACCAUUCCUAGAAAAUAUCAUAUUUUACAUAAGUUCAUUAUUAUAUCUUUUAAUAUCUUUAUUUUUUUAGUUGAAAUACAAAUGAAUAUAUUUAAAAUGUUCUAACAAAAUCUUUUUAAAAUCUUCUUAAAAUCUUUUUAAAUUUACUUUCAAAAAUUAGUUAGUUUUAAUUUAAAUUAUCAUAAAAUAUAAUUAGAAAUUAAAAUUGAAUAUAGUUUUGGUUUAUAAACGAAAAUUUAAAUAAAAUGAAAUUAAUUAAUUUUAAAAAUACAUUUACUAAUAACUUUUAAAGAUUUUGUUAGAAAUAAAUAUUUAUUUUUAUUUUAAUUUUUUCAAAUUAGUUUUCUAAUAAAAAUCAUGAAUUUUUGAUGAGUGAUAUUUUUAUUUGGACCAUCAUUUAAAUUUUAUAUUAAAUGUAUAUCACUAAUGCUAAUAUACAUAAUAUUUUUAACUACUUUAAUCAUAAUAUCUUUUAUAUCUUUUAAUUUUUUUUUUAAAAAAAUUAAAAUUCUAACAAAUCUCUUGAAAAAGAUUAUAAUAAGAUCUUAAUUGUCAUAUAUUGAAUAUAAAUAUUUUCAACUAAUUUUGUAAUUAGUAAUGAAAUGUUACUAAAAGAAUAAAAUUAUAUCCUAUUUUAUCAAUUUUAUAAUAAUAUCUAUCAUUUUAAAAUAAAAAUGUUAUAUUGAAAAAAAUAUGAUAAAAUUAUUUUAAAUUGAUAAGUUAACAUAUUUUAUUUUCAUAAAUAAAAAAUAUUUAUGUUAAAAAUAUAAUAUGUUGGUAGAACGGGUUAAUAUUAGUAAACUAUAUAAUACAUGUAUAAAAAUUUAACUUAUCUUAAACUUUUUAAUAUACAGUAAUUUAUUAUAUAAAAUUAAUAAACAUUAUAAAAUUACUAAAAAAAUCUAGCGAUUUGAAUUACGGAUCAUGAUUAUAAUAAAUUAAAUACAAAAUUGUUUUCAUAUAUGUUGUUUCAGGCAUUAAAAAAUUUAGUUUAGUAAUCAAACGCAAAUUCAAUAAGACAAAUAUAUAAUAAGCAACAUAUAUGUGAUGAUUUUAAUUUACAGCAUGAAAACUAUAAAAUUAUUUUAUUUGGCAUAAUUAUACAAACAUUUAAAUAUGUGAGUAGCAUUAAAAAUAUAUAAUAAUUAUGAAAAAAAUAUUUAUAUAUAUAAAUGUGAAAAUAUAUACCCGCACGGUUGUGCGGGUGGAAAUCUAGUAUAUAGUUAAGAUAUUAUAUAUUUUGUAUAUACACUAGAUAUUCUCUAGAACAUUCUACUGUGUUCUCUAUAUACUCUUUGACAUAUAAUGAUACAUGGAGUUUUCUAUCUUACAUAUUAUCGGACGCUAAACUCUAGCCACCAAAUUAAUAGCGAUCGAUCCAGUCUCCACUUUUUUCAUCUCUCUUUUCUUCACAUUUUUUUUUAUUUUUCUUCUCCUCUUCGUCCUUCUCCUUCUUCUCGCGGCUCAUCAUGACUGCCCUUACAUCAUCAAGUGAUAAACUUUAUGGGAUUUCACAGAUCAAAGUCUAUAUUCCCAUCACUUUUGACAUGACGAAACUUAAUUACGAUAAAUGGUGUGAGCUCUUUGAAACCUAUUGUGUCAGGUUUGGUGUUCUACACCAUAUUGAUGGCUCCUCUUCUUCAACUCAUGCUACUGAAAAAGAAUGGAAGGAGCUUGAUGGACUUGUGAAGAUGUGGAUUUAUGGUACCAUAUCUGACUCCAUCAUUGAUACCGUUCUCAAAAAGAACGCUACUGCACGUGAUCUAUGGCUGUCUAUUGAAAACCUCUUCCGUGAAAAUAAAGAAGCUCGUGCUCUUCAACUAGAGAACGAACUCUGAUGGUUAUUGGAGAACUUACCGUCCAUGAGUACUACCAAAAUAUGAAGACUACUGCUGAUCUACUCACCAAUAUUGAUGCCCCGGUCUCCGAACGCGCACUUGUCUCACAUCUCUUCAACGGUUUAUCAGACAAGUUUGACUCGAUCAUUAAUGUUGCGCAACACAAAGUGCCAUUUCUGACUCUACGUUCAACGUUGUAGAUAGAGGAAACUCGCCUUUCCAAACAGGUAAAACCAACUCCUCACCACCACGAAAAUUCCUCGUCCGCCACGGUCCUCUAUGCUGUCUCUGAUGAAAACCCUCAGAACUCACACAACAACAAUUAUCACAACUCAGGUCGUGGGAAUAGGGGACGAAAUCGAGGUUAUGGUCACUCGAGAGAAAAAAAGUCGCUAAAACAACAACUGGCCGCAGCAACAAUUUGGCGCACCUUGGUACUACAACCAGCAACCUCCCGUUUAUGCGAUAAUACCUCCUCCCUUUACGUACCUGUCGCAGGGUUAAGUUCCCUACUCACUUGGCUCAUUCCAGCAAUAUCAGCAUCAGCAUGGGAGUCUACUGCAGCAAGAUAUUCUCAGGUCUCAUCCAACACGACCCAACCAUGAAGCGCACAUGGCACAGAUGUCUACAACUCCGCAGAUGACACAACUUCCAGCGGGUCUCACUCAUGCGUUCAACAUAAUGACUCUACAGCAGCCUGAUCCAGCAUGGCACGUGGACUUUGGUGCAUCCACGCACAUCACUUCAAACGCAUGUACUCUAAAAUCCCUUUUUAAUCUGAGCACCAUACCUCUUGUAACCGUAGGUAACUGGCCCAUAGUUGCUGUUCAGACCUCUGGACAUGGUACUCUUGUUUCACUAUCUCGCUUUUUUUCUCUUUGUAAUGUUCUGGUUUGCCCUGAUAUUAUCGAAAAUCUAAUCUAUGUAUGCAAGUUUGUUACAGAUAAUUCAUGUGCUAUUAAGUUUGAUACUUUUGGUUUUUGUAUUAAGGACCAUCAGACUCAGAUCAAACUGCUCCGGUGUAAUAGCUCGGGUCCAUUGUAUUCUGUGACACCAUCUCCACCACUACCAUCUCAUUUCAGCUUUCACUACAACAUCACUGAAUAGUUUCAUAUGGCAUAGACGACUUGGGCAUCCCAACAAAUCUACUCCUUCUCACAUUUUAUCUAUUUUUCUCCUUCUCUCUCUAAAACAUAGUUGACGGCUUUGUGUCAAGAAUACCAACUUGGCAAGCACACUCAUUUACCUUUCUAUAAUUCAACAACUAUUGUUUCUCAUCCUUUUGAAAUCAUGCAUUCUGAUAUUUGGACAUCUCAUGUUUCAAGUAUCAGUGGCCUUAAAUACUAUUUCAUUUUUCUUGAACGUGUUUUACACUUUGUUUGGGUAUAUCCUCUUCACCGUAAGAGUGACACAUUUGGCAAAUACUUGCAUUUCUCUAACUAUGUGCAGACACAAUUCAAUCAUUCCAUCAAAUCUUUACAAUGCAAUAAUGAUGGAGAGUAUGACAACCGAGCAUUCAAAGAUCAUUUGGCGUCCACUGGCACUCUCCUUCGGUUCUCUUGCCCUCACACAUCGCAGCAAAAUGGUUAAGCUGAGUGUAUGCUUUGCACCAUCAACAACAUUAUUCAAACGCUCUUGUUUCAAGCCUCCAUUCUGCCUGAGUUCUGGGUAGCAGCACUACACACAACAGCUCACCUUUUCAACAUAUUACCGUCGGUGGCCAUCAACAACGACAUACCAUGCACACAAUUGUUCGAGACAGUGCCUAACUACCAUCACCUACGCACUUCUGGCUGCAUGUGCUACCCCAACUUGUUGCCUACAUCGGUUCAUAAAUUUUCUCAGCGCUCCACACCUUGUGUCUUCAUCGAAUACUCAACGGACCACCGCGGCUAUAGGUGCCUUGAUCUUCACACUAGGCGCAUCAUACUCUCCUGCCAUGUCGUAUUUGAGGAAACAAUAUUCCCUCUGUCUCACACUUCUUCUCUCUCUUCUUCCUCUUCUGCUCCAGUGGAGUUCCCUCCACCACCUAUUCCUCGCCAAACAAAAAUCAUAAAUGUGUCUCCUCCAGUCAUCACUCCUACGGCUCAUCCUUCUAUUCUUCCUCCAAACACUCAUUCUAUGGUCACUAGAGGUAAAAACGGUAUAGUGAAACCGCGAACUCCUUUGUGCCUUCAUACUGAUAUUUAUUUCUCUUUUACCAUUGUCUUUUGUCCAAGCAGCUAAUGACCCACUUUGGAAUAUUUCUAUGUUUGUAGAAUAUGAUGUUCAUAUUAAAAAGAGAACGUGGGUACUUAUCACCGGCCAAAGAAUACUAACAUUGUGUGUUCCAUGUGGCUGUAUAGGCAUAAGUUAAAUGCAGAUGGAAUUAUUAGAUGCCACAAAUCUUGCCUCAUCGCUAACGGAAAAUCCCAACAACAAGGCAUUAACUGUGAUGAAACGUUCAGUCCUCUCGUCAAACCAGCGACGAUUGGUACGGUUUUCAUGUUGCUCUGGUUCGUGAUUGGCCACUACAUCAGCUUGACGUGAAGAAUGCAUUUCUCAACAGUGACUUCGACGAGACUGUAUAUAUGUACCAGCCACUGGGAUUCAUAGAUAAAAUCAAAUUGGACCAUGUCUGCUUUCUGAAACACUCACUUUACGGUCUCAAACAAGCACCUCGCACAUGGAACAUACGAUUUGCAACUUUUUUCGUAGCCUUGGUUUCAAACAAAGUAUUUCCGAUCCAUCGCUGUUUGUGCUAUGCUCCGGAGCUGAUCUUGAAUAUCUUCUUCUUUAUGUUGAUGAUAUCUUCCUUACGGCCUCUUCUUCCAGCUUGUUGCAGCGCAUUAUCACACGUCUGAAUUCGGAGUUUGAAAUGUCCGAUCAAGGCCUUCUCCACCACUUUCUCGGCAUUACAGUCAAGCGCGAUGUCUCUGGUCUUCUCCUUCAUCAACAUAAAUACGCGGCUGAGAUUCUCCAUCGAGCAAACAUGUCAUAUUGCAACCCAUGUCUCACUCCCAUCGACACAAAACAAAAACUCUCAGUCAAUACCAGUCCGCCGGGCUCUGAUCCUACUCUGUAUAGGAGCCUUGCUGGUGCUCUCCAGUACUUGACUUUCACUCGACCCGACAUUGCCUUUGCCGUUCAGCAGGUGUGUCUCUUCAUGCACGAUCCACGAGAAGCUCACUUCAACACACUCAAACGGAUUCUUCGCUACUUGAAAGGCACCCUUUCGCAUGGCAUUCAUAUGGUUUGAGCAAAGUCUUUGCACCUUACUGCAUACUCUGACGCUGACUGGACGGGUUUUCCUUCUACAUGUCGAUCUACCUCUGGCUACUAUGUCUUCCUCGGUGAUAACUUGGUCUCAUGGUCAUCAAAAUGGCAACAAACUAUUUUUCGGUACCGAAGCUGAGUAUAGAGGGUUUGCAAAUGUUGUUUCUGACGCGACUUGGCUAUGCAACCUCUUGUUCGAAAUGAAGAUUUCACUAGCUCGUGCCACUUUGGUCUACUGUGAUAAUGUAAACGCCAUGUAUUUGUCCUCCAAUCCGGUUCAGCACUAAUGAAUGUAACAUUCGAGUCCUCCAUAUUCACAAAGGGGCUUCCAUCUCCUCUAUUCACUGAGUUUCGGAACAGUCUCACUGUCCGACCAAUACACGCUUCGACUGAGGGAGAGUGUUAGAGUAUAUACGUUUAGAUAUUAUAUAUCUUGUAGAUACAUUAGAUAUUCUCUAGAACAUUCCAUUAUAUCCUAUAUAUACACUUCACAUAUAAUGAUUAUAUAUACUUUUGCCAUAUAAUGGUUUUCUAUCUUACAAUCCCUUCUUUUUUUUUAACACCAGAUUGGUUAUCUUUAAAAACUUAAUAACAAGUUUUUUAAAAUAACUGAAUAAAUAGUACCUCCCAAUACACAUUAUAUGUGAAUAGCUAUAUCAAAAUUCCAAACAAUAUUUUUUUUAGUAAGAAAUGUUUACUCUAUGUACAUUUUAGUUAUUUUAUACAACUAUAAAUAUGAACUAUAUAAAACUAUUUUCUAUCAAAUAAAAUAAAUUUGAAAAUCAAUGUUCCACCUCCGCUUGAGAUUUUUCUUAUAGUUCUGAUGCAGAUCCCCUAUAUAUUAAAAGAGAAGCAUUACAACAUAUUUUUGUAGCCACAUGUCAUCACCACAAUCAUUCUUAGAAUCUUUAGAAAAGAUGUUGGUCCAUAUAAAUAUAUAAUAAGUUUUUUUAUUAAACUAACCAUAAACUAAUCAUAAAUGUUCUUCAUUGUUUCCUUAAAUAAAAGUCACGGAAUUACCUAAUGUGGUUAAAGUAUAUAUGACAAUUAAUGAUUUUGAAUAAUAAAGAUUUGAUAAAAAUUACUCUAUUCUCUAUCAUUUUAAAAAAAAUUAACUAAUUAAAAUAAAUUAAACAACCAUGUUAACUAUAUAAUAAAAAUUUAGAUUUUUUUGUAUAUGCUAUAUUUUGAAUUUUUAAAAACGAAUAUAAAUGACUAAAGUUGUUAAAAAUCUCACAUUGAAAUUUUUGUGAUCCAUGGUUUUAAAAUUUAUAUUAUAACAAGAUACAAAUGAUUAUGAAAUUACAAAAGUAGGAAGUCUCAUUUAAUUAAUAUUAUAUAUAUAUGUAUAUUAAUAUUUUUUUAAAUGAAUUAUAUACCAUAUAAAAUACAUAAGUAUUUUAAUUUCGAAUUUGCUUUGAAUUUUUUGAACAAUUAUUGACAACUUAAUAUUUAGAUUUUAAAGUUUGCAUUGAAUGUUUUUAAAAUUAUAAAUUACUAAAACUAUUAAACAUUCCACAAUUUUUUUAUUGUUAUCAUUUAUUUAAAAAUUUUGUUAUAAAGAAAUACAAACGAUCAAAAAUAAUAUGAGUAUAAAAUACUUUUUAGCAGAUGUCAAUAUUAAAAAUGUACUUUAUAUCUAUGUUAAUAUCAUGUAAACUUAAUUUUAUAACAUAUAAAAUAUAAAAAGUGUUUGUCUCGAUUAAUAAAAUUUAUUUAAGUAUUUGUAUCAAUUUAGUUACAUACGUAAUAGUUACUAAUUUUUUUAUUAUUCAAUAUAUAUUUGUUAUUUUUUAAUAUGUAAAAAAUAUAUAAUACUUAAAAAUAAUUUAUAUAUCAUAUUCAUCCCGCCCAAGGGGCGGGUCUUAACCUGAUAUUAGAUUAUUCAUACAUAAUAUCAGCACUAUCAGGUCACGAGUGACUUUUGACUUCUCAAUUCUUUGUAGCUAGAUUUGAUCAAAUCUUGGUUAUCAACAGGCCAAUUAAUACCCAACCAAUUUCACAGUAUAAAUUCUUACCAGUACCAUCACUAAUAUACAUAUAAACUUACAGUAAUAUACUUGAAGAGGAUCAUUGAGUACUUGAGUAUAUAUUUUUUCUUUUUAUGAUAACAAAGUUACGUGUAGCCCGACCAAUUAGACAUUGUAAUUCCAAAAUACUCAAAAUAUAAGAACUAAAGUUAAAAAGAAUUUCGAGAUGCGAUUAGUUGUAAGAGCACCUCCAAUGGGAAGUUCUACCCAUUAGAGUUCUAAAGAUUCAUAUGUGUGUAAGUAUAUGUUGUAUAUGUGUAUGUAUGUGUACGAUCCAUUAUUUUGUGGAGAACUCCACUUUUAAGGUUCUAAAAGCUUUGUUUUAAGAAUUUUAAGGGUGGAAUUCUCCACAAAUAAUAGACCCACAUAUACAUACACAUAUAUAAUAUAUAUUUAUACACAUAUAAAUAUUUAAAACUCCAAUGGAUAGAACUUCCAUUGGAGGUGCUCUAAGAACCUACAACAUGAAACGAACAACAUUUGUUCGCAUGUCACAGUCAAAAGUAAGUCACAGAAACUUAAGACAACAAAACGAAACAACAUUUGACCGUAGAUCUCAGCAUAGGUGACAUCAACAUGCAAAUGAAUAUGGCAAAAUCAUUUUAUUUUAUUUUAUUUUGUUGAGAAAAUAUAUGACAUGAUUUUAUUUAAAUACUUAAACUUGCUGAUGACCAAUAAUAUAUAAUUAUAUACCUGGUUGAUAUUUCAUAAUAUAAUUUCUUUUAGCAAAUUUUUUUUGUUUAAAAAUAUAAGUAAUUUUCAUAUUUCAAUACAACUUUUGUGCUAUUAGAUAUUAUAUAACCAAUUAAAUUAUGCAUUUUUAUUUAAUAAAUUAUAUCUAAUUAAAUAUUAAGCUAUAUAUUUUGAAAUAUAACAACUUUUUUAAUUGUUGUGAUUUUAGCCAAAACAACUAACUUUAUGAAACAACGAGAUCAUUUGUUACCAGCAAAAAUAAAAUAACUGAUCGUAUUUAGGGGCCCGAGACAUGAGUCUUCUGUAUUUUAAAAUUUCUUGUUGACUAAAUCACUAUUUUGUCUUUAUUUGUCAAUGUUAUAUAUACUGUAACUUAAUUUAAUAGAAAACCAAAGAGCUUCCUAACUUUGAUGGCUCGGGAUCUCCAUGAUUAAACUAGUUGCCUAAUGUCCCUUUUGUCUUUUUCUUUACUUUAUUCUUCCUUUGUUCUUUUUUUCUUUCUCAUUUAUAUUUUUGAUCUUAUCGUUUUGAUAAAACUGACGGGAUUAGUAGCUCGCACUAGUUUUUUGGCUGAUGAUUUGUAAAGAGACGUACAUACUUCGUGGGAUUGAAGACGUUAUGAUUUUCAAUUAACUGUAUAAGCUAGAUUGUUAAAUACCUAAUGUCCAAAAAACAAAUUAAACAAGCGAUAAAUGUGCAUCGACUAAAGUAAUUGAAAAUAUAUGUAAAUAAGCUGCUAACUCAUUCACGUCCUUUGGUAUAAAUGUUUUCAAGUUAUAUUUUAGGAUCCACCAGCAAUGAAAUUGCUAUAUGUAGUUAUGCGUAGGAAAUGAGGUUGUACAACAUGUCCAAAUGAUUAACAAUGUCAUCCAACACUCUUUUUCUUUCCAAACACCACACAAAAUCAUCAUAUUUUAAAAAGGAUGUACUGAAUGUGCUAUUUAUAGUUUUUUUCGAAAUGUGUUUUCCGGAGACUCAAGCUUUCCACCGUAGCACCAUACAUGUUUUGAAGUUUAAGUAAUGCUGAUGAAUAAACACCACAGCUUACUUGGCCGUAUAUCUUGAGACGAAAACUGAUGUUUAUCAUAGAAUUGUGUGCACUGGCAUUGUGAAAGCCAGUUCAAAAAAAAAAUUGUGUGCAUUGCCAUGCUUAUGAGGGAUGGUAUAUAUGAGAUUGUUAUUUUGUAGCCGAAUUGUAAUACAAGAUGUUACUAUUAUAUUUUCAAUAAAAGAACGAUUUUAUCACCUCCAACAAGCCAGGCAGAGAGUGGAGAAGGAGCAAAGGUCAUCUUAGGAAAAAUUCAACAAUAAAGAUUAGCUCCAAUUAUUAUUGUGUUGUUGUCUUUCACUCUCGAGCCUUGUGCUCACCUUUCUUCUCGCUGCAUCUUUCUCCUCUCUGUUACAUAUAUAGUAUAUACUAGUCAAUCAUUGUUCUCAGUUCUCACUAACAGUAUUUUCCCCACAAAUAAUUUAUUGAUAUGCAAAUAAAGAGAAAAUGUGUUUGGCAACAUGAUGGAGACCAAUCAUGUGUUUUGAUUUUUUUUCUGCAUUGGUUGUUUAUUAAUAAUCUAUUUAAUAAUUUAUUUAGACAAAUUUGUUCAUAAAAAAUGAUUUAAAACAUAUAUUAUUUAUUUAUAUAUUAACAUAUAUUAUUUAUUUAUAUAUUAUAUUCUAUAAAAACUUUCCGUGAAUAUUAUAAUAUAUUAUUUAGUUUACAUAUUAAAAUUAUUAUAAACAAAUUUAUAUGUCUAAAAUAUUUUUUCAAACCAAGUACUAUUUUUGAAUUGUUAUAUUUCAAUAAAUUGAUUAAAAAGGUUUAAAAGUCGAAGUAACUGUUCAAUGAUACUCAAUUGAAGUUUUUAUUUUUUUCCAACAAAUAUAGUAAAACGCAUUCAUCUGUUUCUAUUUUCUAUAUAACUAAAACUUGUACUUUUAAGUAUUAUCUUAAAAUAUUUUGAACCUUUUUAACACUUAGUCUACCCUGGAGAAUAUGAUUUGAAACCUAAAAAUUAAACCAGAACAUAAAUAAAAAAGAACGAAACUGAAACUAGAAAAAAUUUUACAAAAACCCGAACAUGUACUAUUUCUUUAAAUCUGAAAAUAAAAAACCGAACCAAAAUUGAAUGGAUAAAUAUUCAAAUAUAAUAAAAUACUAAUUAUUUUUAAUUUAAAAAUAGCUAUACUUUAUAAUUUAUAAAUAAAAAAAUUAUUCAAAAAACUGACCUACUUGAAUAUUUUCAGUUUUAAGGGUUUUAUCUAGGAUUUUCACAAGUUUUUUUAAUUUCAUUUUUUUUUCUUUUAACUCGAGGUAAAUCGGAAUCAUUUUUAAUUCAGUUAUAUUUUAGGUUUUAUAAAAAAAACAGACAUGAACCCGACAUUAAUUAUUCGAACCGAUCCGUUCUAAGAUCAUAAGGUUCUUAAACAGGUCCUAAACAUUCUAGCCAAAAUAAUUGGACCCGAGCCGAACCUUAAUCUCUAAAUACCCAGCUCUGAUUUAAUCAACAAUGAUAAUUUGAUAAAUUAGUUGAUCUGCAUUUUCUGCAUAUUUACUUGUUAUGUAUUAUCUAUUGAUUUGCAUAUUUUGAACAUCGUCACCCAUUCGAAGUCUUUAUGAUAUUGUCUAUUUCUAUAUUAUAUACGCAUCAUAUUAAAAGUAAUAGUUAAGAUCAUAGAUAAUUAAUUCAACUAGAAAGGACACUAACAAUUUUGUCAAAUGUCAUUGGUUCGAGUGAUUAUUGAGAAGAAACUAGUAUUACACAAUAUGGUUUUGGUCUUAUAAUAUUACAUAUUUGGGCCUCGAAUUUUCUGGGAUUCACAAAAAGAAAAAUAAAUUUAAGUGAAAGCUUUUUUAAUCAGUUAAUAAUAAGAUUUGGAUUCUGAUUUUAAGAAAUAUUAUAAAGUGAAAAGAUUGACGGAAUUAACCAAAAAACUUCAUUAAACCUAGAACAAAUGAGGAAGUUGAUAAAUAUACAACAUAUGAUGCAAGAUCUAGACUAGUAAAUAGCUAGAAUGUAGAAUUUCGUAUAUUUUGUUAUGUACGAUACUUACCAACCACUGAAACUAUCUGAAAAAAAAGACUCGAGCUUAAAGAGGACUCCACUUUACCAACCAUAAAGUAUAAACCCUUCGAUCAAUAAACGAAAUUACUAUGAAAUAAAUCAGUAUUACAUUAGUUCUGGAUCGACAAAUUCAUAAUGAAAUACAUGUAGAAAGUUUUUAGUUAGUUAUUUUUCUCUCUUCCUCAUUAGGGCCGUGCGACUUUUAUAGAUGCCCAAAGAGAAAAAUAAAAAAAAUAAAAUUAUUUAAAAGUAAUACAUCAAAAUUAAUAAAUAAUAUUUUGUUGACAAAAAUCAGGAUUGUUAUAUAACAAACAAUUAAAUAACUAAAUUUGCAAAGAUAGUUCUAAAAUAUAACAUUUUAUAUUCAUCCUAUAAAAUCUAUAAUUAAGAAAAAAUCAUUUUAAAUGGCCUCCAUAAUUAUUUUGUAUAGAUAAAAUAAUCAAGUGACUCAAUGUUUUUAAUUGAUAUAUUCAAGCAAACAUAAAUAGAUUACUAUACAAACUUAAAAUAAUUAUACAAUAAAUAGAAUUACAAAUUUGCGAUAAAUAUUGAGAAAUAAUAUAUUAUACUUAAAAGUGAUAACUACAAAAAAUACGAGAAGACAAUGUUGAUAACUUGUAAACUUCUAGUCAUGUUAGUUAUUUAUUAUUUGUCCCAUAUAAUAAAUUGAUUUAAAUACAACAGUAUAGUUAAUAGUAUGAAUACUAGCAUUGCAUAUGAUGACACAACUAAAUACUUGAUUUGAUGCAUUUUGAUGCGAUAAGCGAAAGUUUAUUUUCUUACUAGGCAUGCACGGGACCGUUCCUCUUCUAUAUGUCGAUGUCUAUGUAACACCUGAGUAAACAUGAAGUAGAUUAAUUAGCUUGAAUAGAUGAAGCGUUUUAAUUACCAUUAGAAGAAAAAAAAACAUUUUUCCCCACUAUCCCUUCAAGGCCAUUAUUUUUGCUUAAAGCUAAGUUAUAAUUAUGCUCUUUCCGCCAGAAACGGGUUUUUGUCUUGUUGAAAAUAAAGGAAUGAAGUGACUCAAAGCGUCUUCCUAAAGCUAAGAUAUUCUAUUUACUGCGUUAAGAAUACACUUUAUUCCAAUAUACAGUAUAUAACGCGAAAAUAGUUUGAAAAUUGGACGAGGGAACAAAAAAAUACUAAUUUCAUGUCCCUACUAUAUAUUACUAAAAUAUUAGCAUAUUAAAGUUGUUGUGCAAUCACCUACUUCAUACGAAAUUUUCCAUGAAAGUAUAUUUUAAAUGUAUUCGAAACAAUGAAAACAAAAUAAGAGAGAAAAUAAUUACAUGGUGAUGUGAUUGUAAGUUUGUAACUGUGGUUCGUGAAUAUAUGACAAGUUAAGUAUAAUAAGCAAGUCUAAUUCUGAAACCCUAGGCGACGAACACUGCAUGCCAAUAGUAGAAACAGUACGUACGAUCACGAGAUCAAACUUAUACGUACUUUUGUUUCUUAGGAUCCUUCCACUUGUAGGCACUAGCCCCUUGCCACGUGGUCCCCAUCCAUUAGCUUUAUGGGCCUCAUGAAGCCCGCGGGGCCUAUGUUCCCAUCCAUGCACAUGCUUCACAUUAGGCUUUAGCUAUGUUAGUGGGUAUAUUUUUAAAUACUAACUUUAAUACGCAUUUUGAAGUACAAAUAAACGUAUAAAAUAAUAGGCCUAUGUGCCUUUGUGGAAGAAACGGCCAAAGAAAAACGUUGUGGCCUCCACGAAGGUUGCAAAGACUCAUUGUCAUUUGCACGUGAUGACCACCUUCUCCCAGUGUCUUAUAAUAUGUGUGUAUUAUAUAGCUCGCAUGUAUAAAUAUACUUUAUAGAAUUCACAUAGUUAUAUAUUUGAGUGUAGGACCAUUCAUGAAUCUUUAGCACUAUACUCUAGUUUGAAGAAUGGGGAUAAUAUGAUAAAUAAGUCAGUUGGCCUAUUUCUAUUGAAUUUUCUAGUAGUACUCAGCGUCAAUAUUUAUUGAAUACCUGUAUGAAAUCCAUUGUGGGAUUAACUUCAGACGGCCCAAGUAUAGGCAUGUUAGUGGACACUACAUCCAAAUUGUUCUUUCCUAUGACUACCAUAUUGAUGGGCUUAACUUUAAAGCCCAUAAUACAUUGUAACUUUUUGAGUGAUACAAUUUAAAUUUAUGAUGUUGUCUCACUGGCUCCCUGAAGAUGAUUUUUGUCUCAGAAAAUCCAUCGAGGUUGAAGUUUUCACGAAACCCUAGUUUCCACUCUCUUUGUGUCUUCAUUUGUCUCUUGAUUUUAACUUCUACUACUUUAUGUUAUUUGUGUUUUUUGUAUCUCGCGUUCCUAUUACGAGUUGAUGUUACUGAAUCUUGAACUGAAACCCUAAAUUACUGCAGCGUUUAAACCUCUCACUCUUUCUCUAUAGGCAGUUGACAUGGUAGUUUGUGUCCCAAGUCAUCCAACUUUGGGUUUAUCAUAACUUUGAUUAGAUCGACUCUUACGAGUUUCUAAUGGUUUAUUUGCCGAUUACUAGACGUACUCCCAGGGCCGGUCCUCGACAAAGUCUAAUGAAACAUUGGACCUUAAAUUCCCAAAUUUUUAGAAAAAUGUUACAUUGAAAUAGGUUUCCAAAAAAAUAAUUUUAGACUCCCAAAUUUAUUAAAUUUCUUUUUUAGUUUAUAUAUUUAAUAAAUUGUCUAAGGUCCCGUAAAUCUCAGGGUCAAACCUUGCGUACUCCGUGUUUACCAUGGUCUAUGAUAGAAAUAUUCACUAUCUAAAUCCUUGAUUUGCAAACAUUAAUGGUUAGUUUAGUUUUCUUGCUACAAUAGAAUGUAGCCUCUCUACAGUCUCUAGCGAAAGGAGCAAUUCAAGAAGAAUUUCAAGAUCCUCUGUUUCAACAACCCAAUACAAUCUUCACUGAGACAACAUCAGUGUCACAUCAGCAAGUAGUUCACGAUCAAGAAGAGAUUUGCAUUGGUCGAGAGUCUUAGGGCAUCCACAGUGGAUGGUGUCUAAAGAAGUCUCUUGUCAGAUAAAUGAUAAACUAAGGGCAAAUUUUAUGAGAGAGGCAAGAAUUGGACAUAGACGUCUUUGGUACGAGAGACCACACAUAACUAUUUGAUAGAUUUUCUUACAGAUGUCUUUCUAUUAUUUUUUCUAAGUUUGUUUUGUAUUUUAAUUUAAUUAAAAGAUAACUUUAUAUCAUAAAUAUGUAUACCAGAGAUCGUGAUUCAGCUCUCACCGAUGCGGAUCCUCUUAUAUACUUGAAAAGCAAAUCAGAGGAAUAUUGUAAUAAAUCUAUAUCACUGCCUGUAUUGAAUCCACUUCCAGAAAUCAUUAAAAUUAUAUUAGAAUCUCUUUAUAAGAUAGUUUGUUAAGACCCUAUAUAUUAAUGUUGAUAUUUAUACUAAUCUAAAUAAUACUCUCUUUUCCAAAAGUAAGUUUUUAAGAUUUUAUUCUUUUUUCCCAAAAAAUAGAUUUUCUAUAUUUCAAAAGAAUUUCUAUAUUUAAACAAAAGAUUAACUGAAAUAUUUAAAUUAAGUAAAUAAUAUUGAUCAAUAGUUAUUAGAAAUGAUAUAAUAAAAAUAAAUAAUAAAUUUAAUUGUAAUAUUUAUUAUAUUUUAAUAUACAUAAAUACUUUAGAAAACAAUUUCGAGAACAAAGGAAAGAAAUCACAAAAGACGAAUCUAGAGUUUUUUUUAGAACAAGGUGGAUCUAAAGUUGUGAGAAAAAGAAAUCAUAUAAACAUAUAAUGUGUUUUAAUCAUGGAAAAUUACCACCAAUAACAUAUUCAUAGUACCACUUUUCAUGUUUAUACUAAUCAAUUUUACCCUCACUUUUAAUGAAGGAUAAAAAACACUUGUACUCCUAGGGUUAACUAAUCUGAACUUAGGGUUUAGAGUUGAGGGGUGGGGUAUGAUUUUUUGAAUGUGAAAUUUAGGAUUCUAAUAAAUAAAUACAAAAAAAUAUUAAAUUUUUUUAAAAAAAAUUGUUUCAAACAUAAUUUUCGAUUUUCAAAAAAAAAUUGAAAAAAUAAAAAAAAACAAUUUUGAGAAAAAAUCAAAAAGAAAAAAAAUUAUAAAAAAGUUCGAAUUUGAAAACGUAUAAUUGGAAAAAUUUAAAAUUUAAAAUUUGUUUAUUUAUUUAAAUAAUGAUUUAUUAUAUAUAUACAACAAGGGUAUAAAAGUUUUUUGCUACUUGAUGAAUAAUGUAUUUUUAAAAAUGUAUCUUUGGUGGUGGUAAAGAUGAAAAGUGGUACCAUGAAAAUGGUGAACAUAAAAUUUCUUCUUUAAUUAUUUACGUAAAGAAAGAUCCGCCACCACCAGUCAACUUGGUUGGUAGCGCUUCACACCCGCCAUCAUUGGCCACUUCCGAUACAAAGUUCUUCGAUGGCUUCAAUCAUAACUUUCCAAAACAAAGAUAACACAAUAACAUUGCAAACAUAUAACAAGAUGAUUGAUAUGCAGCUAUCUAACAUAUACAUGGUAUUGUAGAUAAGUUUCGUUUUUGUUACAUUUGGAAGUGUCUUAAAUUUUGUUAUCCAGGUUGACAUUUGGAAGUUGCGGUUUUGAGGGGGAGGGGUUGGGUAAGAUUUUUUGAAUGUGAAAUUUAGGAUUCUAAUAAAAAAAAUUUUAAAAAAAUUUUAAAAAUAGUUUCAAAAAUAAUUUUCGAUUUUCAAAAAAAAAUUGAAAAAAUAAAAAAAACAAUUUCGAAAAAUUUUAUAAAAAAAGUUAGAACUUGAAAAAGUAUAAUUCGAAAAAUUUAAAAUUUAAAUUUUAUUUAUUUAUUUAAAUAAUGAUUUAUUAUGUAUAUAUAGAUAACAAGGGUAUAAAAGUCUUUUGUCACUUAAUGAAGAAUGUAUUUUUGAAAAUGUCCAUUUGGUGGUGGUAAAGAUGAAAAGUGGUACCAUGAAAGUUAUUUAUCCACAUAAUAACAUACAUACCCUAAACAAAUUUUUGCUUCAAUACAUUUUGCUUUUAAGUUCUUUUUUGAGUUUGGUUCAUGAUAUCUUGCGUAUUUACAUUGUUUUAUCUAUUCAUUCUUGUACAUUUUGAUCAUUUAGUAUAAUAUUUAUACAUGUUUAGGUUGUAGUGCAUUACAUAUGUCCUUAUCUAGUGAUGAAGAUGUCAAAUGGUGACUUUGGAGAUGGUUUGGAGGCAAGAUUGGUGAUUCUCGAGAUUGAGACGAGAUGACCAAGUGACCCUGCGGCCUGAUGACCUCGCAGCCUUGGGACCUCGUCGAGAAACCGCUGCAUCCGUUCAAGAAUGAAAAACCAAAGUAUGGGAGCGGCCUUGCGCAGCGGAGUGUUGAAGCCGCUGGUAAAAUGCACAUGCCCCUGUCGAAUACCGGGAUGACGCAGCGGCCAGAUGACGAUGCCAGGAAACCGCUGUGAGCGUCCCAGCAACCUAGUGGAGCGCUUUCGCGAAGCCGCUGCGAGUCCAAAAAGUCAACAAUUCGGGAUUUAACCAGAUGUUAACCCAUUUGUGUUUGGGUCAAUCCGAUUUGUCGGGUUGACCUCGUUCGAUUUUAGAUUGCCAUAAAUACUUUUUAGACCUAUUCUUAGGGAUUAUCCUUUUUUUUUUAUCUAAACACAAACCUAUUUUGGUGAAAGAUUCAAUCUUUAACUUUUUUUCAUCUUUAUAUAUUGUGUUUAUUGGAUUAUCUUGAUCACUAAUCAUGAUUAACUUUCAAUCAUCAUUGAUUCUUGGUUUUAUCAUGUCUAUUAGUGAGUAGUUACCUUUUGUAUCCAUGGUUUACGUAGAUCUAGAGUGAUUAAUGAAGAUUUGAGGUGUUUAAUGAUUAGAUCUCUAUGUUUCCAUGCAUAUUAAGUGUCCUUAAUGCUUGAUUUGACUUGAUCACUCUCAUCUUGAUAAUAAGCUAUUUUAUACCUAGAAGGUGUUUGUUAAAAUGUUUGACUGAACUUAAUAUUACUCUAAUUUGAAUAACCAAAGGGAUUUGAUGUUAGGAUUGCUAGAUGGUUAGUAGACAUGAAUAUAAUGCAUGCUUAAAUGAUUUAAACCAAUGGAAUUGAUGUUUAGUUCAUGAUUGCAUAUGGAUCUUUACCUUGGAAAAUGAUUGAUCAUUAUUAGUGUUCUAGACCUAUAGAAACUUGUGAUUGCUUAAAGUUAACACAUUGACUUGGAUUUAAUUACCUUGGGUCAAUUGCCUUAACCCAUGGAUUCUACUUUAUCAAUUGAUUGCAAAAGCUAGUCAUUGUCUUGUUUGCUUGAAGCUCGUCACUUAUCAACUUAAAUCCACUGUAUACAUUUAAAUUGAAUUGUAUGGCUUGCAUUUUUAGUGAUUGAAAUUACCUUGAAAUUGGAUUGACCCUAAAGUAUUACAACUACUUAGGAUUAAACUUAUUCCAUAUCAGUUCGCGCUUGUUUAUAACAAUUUUCAUACUCUGUUUGAUCUUAUAGUCUAUGACUGCGUGCGGAGCCGGUCCUAAUAAUUAUGAGGUUAGAAACAUAUACAAAAUUGUGGUCUAUAUAUUAGUUGUAUUUAAGAUUUCUAAAGAGAAUCGAACACGCAACAUUUAGUUUUUGUAACAUAAACCAAAACCAGUACUUUUACUAAAAACGCUAGUCAAAAGGGCCGCUAAAAUAGUUUAUCUCUGGUAGCCAGAAGCACAAACUUCUUUAGCUUUCUUCUAGGGCAAGUUCCGACUGCGUAAAUUUUCCUUACUAGAUUUUAAAUAAACAAGAGACCUUCGACCCAAAAAAAACAAGAAACCAAUCGGCUAAAACAAAUGUAGCUUAGCAUUUUUUUCCCUUCAAAUAUUGGUGUUAGAUCUGAUGCUCUGAGGGGACAUUCAUGGAAAACAGCGUAGUGUUAUCUCCCAUUAAAACUUAUUAGAUGAUUUGAACAAUGCACAUGCACGGUUUCUAAAAAUAUAUUGUUAUGGUUAAAUGUAUUCGUUGUUUGAUAUUUUUAUAGUGUACACAUGUGAUUUAAAAUGUUAUUGAAAGAAUAUAAAUUAUGUUAGGAGGUUUGUAUCCCUAGAACAACAAUCGCUUCGUUUAGUAUCAAUUACAAUAGAAACUCUAAAAAUUAAUAUAUGAUAAAUUGAUAAAUACUAUAAAUUAAUACAUUUUACUGGUUUUGAGUUGGGCCGAUGCAAAUCAGACACAAUUCGAUUAUAUAAUAAUUUUUUGAAAAAUCAUAUGUAAAAAUAUGGUUCCAAUAAAAACAUAAAUUAAGAAUUUAUGUAUAUAAAACUUAUAUAAAUAUAUUUUAUAGUUUGAUUUUGUUCACAUUAAAGUUUACCUAUAGUUUUUCAGAAUAUUUUCAAUAUAUUAUUAUUUUGUCUUUUUUUACUUAAAAUACAUUCACAUAUAUGGUACAUACUUUCUAUACUCCAAAUAAGCGAAUAAAAAACAACAUAAAUUUGUAUUAUAAAAUUUUGUCAAUACACAUAUCAUAAAACUAAGCUUUUUUUUUAUUUUUUACAUAAAACAUAUAUAUAUAUAUAUAUUUAAAUAUAUAGAUAUAAAAAUAAAAUAUUCUAUUAAUUAAAAACUCUAUAAAUUGAUAAAAUAUCAAAAUAUCAAAAUUAUUAAUUUACAGAGUUUUUACUGUAGUAGUUAUAAGAUGAUAAAUUAAAAGUAUCAAAAUCUACAUACAGAUCUACAUAGUGAGAUAAUGAAAGGAGAGACUUACGGAAUGAGACACUUUUUUUUCUUUUUUUACUUCAUUAGACACAUCUCACUUGAGGGACACUUCUUCCUCUCCCUUCCUAUGUGUUUUGACUCAUAUACCCUUUUGCUUUGGUUAGUGAUGAAUUAAUUUUAUUAUAUAAAAUUACUGUCAGCUUUGUGGGGACCAAAAGAGGAGCAACGUGUUUCCUUAAAAGAGUGAGUGUAUAUACUUUGACUCUUUUUAUAUGUAGCAAAAGAGUAUUUUAUACUAAAAGUAACUUUUUAAAUUUCCCACCAUAUUAUAUGUGUCAUUAUUUUAUAUUAUACUGUAUAAAUAAAUAUAUAAAAACAUAAAAUAAAUUAUUAAAAAUUUUCUUUAUAUUUUGAUAUCCAUAUGUAUAUAUAUGUAUUUUAAUAUUUAUCAAAAUUAAAUUUAAAUUACAUACUGUCUAUUUUGAUACUUGUGGACACACUUUUGUGGAUACAUUGUUGAUGGACACAUUUAAAAUAGUCAUUGACAUGUAUUUGUGGAUAGCUUUUUGGUAUUUUGUAGAUACAUUUUUGAUGGAUAAAUUCAAAAUAUCCACUGAAUGGCAAAGACAUUUAGUGUACAAAAUUUUAUGGACAAGAUUUUAUGGACAAAAAUCUCAAUCUUACAAAUUUUAUGUAUAAAAUUUUGUGGACAAGAUUUUUGUGGACAAAGUUUGUAGACAAAUCAUACAAAGUUCAAAGAACCAGUCCCUGAUUCGACGCCUUUAAAAGAGACCUUAACAAAUUGAUAGAAGCUUGUAAGACUUAAUGACUGCUUCAAGCUGAGCCUGAAGAUGUUCCAGCAUGUAAAGUCCAAACAUAUUUAAAGCAUAUCCUAAAUCCAAUUAACCAAACAAAGAUAGCAUGUUCAAUAAACAGAUGAAGCCAAUUUUAUUAAUCAUGAGGAAGGGUUUAUAAUCAACAAGCAAGAGCUUACAUCAUCCGUAAAAUCUCUAAUAGACACAUCAGAAAACAUAAUCACAAAACAUAAUAGGCACGAGAGCUUGUCAUCGUCUUUUCCACAACGGAGGUGGGACCUGCUCGUCGUCGCGUCCUCUCCAUACCGGAUCUCGAAUCUGUUGGCCGUCCUGUCGUCCUCUCCACAACGGAAGUCGGACCUGAUUGCCGUCGCGUUGUCCUGUCCAUACCGGAGCUCUCGGAUCUGCUCGUCAGCUCUCAUGUCCACAAAAUCUCAGAGAUUCGAUUCAAUUGAAAAAGUACAACACAAACAAUUAAAAAAAGAAAAAAAUAUAAAAAAAGUUAGGGGUUUCAAGGAGAAAGGUAUUGAAAUCGGGCGACGGAGAAUGAAGGAGAAAGGUGAUGAGAUAUGAAGAGAUAGAUACGAGAUUAUAUAGUCACAACCGCUGUGAGCCUUCUGGAUUUAUGGUGUUUUACAGAGAAAUUGAAGACGAAGAAGAAAAGAUUUAGCAAAAUUAUGGUUAGUAAACGAAGGGGCUGGGAAAUUGGGAAAAUUAGAUCUGAAUUUCAAAAAGUAAAGCCAGAGAGAGAAUAAAUGAUGGUUUCCGAAAACUCAAAAAUAAAGAAACUGAUUUGUUGAACUAUUUUUAAAAAUAUGGAAAGUGACAGCUUAGUUAGUGAGGAGAGAGUUUAGUUAGUUUGAGGGCAUGUAGGACAUUACACAAUAAAGAAGUGUGCCUCCAGCAAUAAGUGUCCUUUUGUGUAAAUUGAAAGACAAAAAGUGUCUUAGAGAGUAAAAAAAUCUAAUGAAAGUUACAACUUUGCCAUAUAACAUUUUAGCUUUUUUGGAAGGGAAUUUGCACUACAUAACCUAAAAAAUUAUUUCAAUUAGGUAUAUGGAAAUCUACUGUACAUCUUUCAUAAAUCCCAUAUGUAUCCCUAUAAAAUAGAAGUCAACUAAAUAACAAAUAGCCAUUUAGGUUUUUGCAGCAAUAUAUGUUAUGAUUUGUUGUCUCCUUUCACAUACAUUUUUGUCAAGGGCCUGCAAUUUCAAUGAUUUAGAUGUCGAAAGGUUCCAUCUUUGUAUCCCAGUAAGGCUUCCUUUCCACUGUCAUGAUAGCAUAAGUUUCCAUAUUUGCCUCCAUCGUCGUGUUUCCGUCCGCCUAUUCCUUCACCGUUGCCGCUGUCGUGUUCCCAUAAAACGUACAUGAAAUCCAAAUUCUAACUGGUCUUAUUUGUCAGGCUCUCAUCUGUAAAGUCUAGAGUUUAUUUAUUGCCAGAUUCAGAUUGAUCGUUGUGUUUUAUGCUGAAUUUUUAUGACAACUUGUUUCUUUUGGUUGAAAGCUUGUGCCUUUAUUGUAGUGGGUUUUACUUUGUAUUAACACUUUGUGACUGGCAUCUGUUAUGUCACAUCUGUUAUCUUUCGAGCCAGAGAAGGAAGUUCUAGCUCUCUUUUGCUCUUGUGAGUUCUAUUACCGACAAUUGCAAUUUUUAUCCCGCCAUAAUACCGGAUUCAACACAUAUACAUAAAGCCCACAGUAAAAUUUCUUGCGUUUAUGCUCCUCUAAAAAUAUCAACACAGUCUACCGAUUGAUUUAGUUUCUAACAUUUUCUUUUGCCUCAAAUAUUUUGCAAAUCUGGUUUUACAUAGAGAAUAGCUCUGCACCUCAAACGUACAGGAUAGAAUGGUCACUACACUCUCAACAAAUAACCACAUUUGCAAAUACUUUUGAAAUCUGUAUGAUUACCUAAUUACCGUCUACGUUUUGGUUAUUCACCUAAAUGAGCCUUUCUGAAAAGCACAUCAGAUUAAAAAAAUUCAGAUUUGAAAGUUACACAUUUCCUAUAGCAAAGUUCAUACAAUUCUUUUCCAAAAGAUAUUGAACUCAUGACCUCUUCCAUCUUUAAUAUUUAAUCUAAGAAUUUCAACAAAUACGCCCACUCCUUAUUGACCCAUUAAAUAAGGGGAAUUUUCAUUCUUACCACCUUGUUGGUACAUUUCUUCAUGUUUACAAUCAUUAAAGAGAUAUUUUCAAAAAUAUAUUCUUCAUUAAUAGACAAAAUAUUCAUAUAGCCUUACUCUAUAUAUAUAUAAUAAAUAAUUAUUUAAAUAACUGAAAAUUUGAAAACUAAUUUUUGUAUGUUUUCGAAUUAUCCAUUUUCAAAUUUGAAUUUUUUUAUUAUUUUUUUUAUUUUUUUUCUAUUUGUUUUUCACAUUUUCUUUUUGAAAUUCGAAAACUAUUUUAAAAAAAUUUAAGUAUUUAUUUAUAUAUUUAUUAGAACCCUAAACUCCACCUUCCAAAAACUCUAUCCUACCUUUCAACUAUAAACCAAUCUAGAUUAGUUAAUCAUAGAGUUAUAAAUUUAUUUUUCUCAAUUAAAAAAUGAGGGUAAAAGUAUUUAAAUUUAAUACUUAUUUUUAUAUAGUAUGGACUCUUUUUUUUUGACGUCGAACAGCCAUUCUAUUACUCAAACUUGAGGUGGUCUGGGUAACCAGACCGGAAUAGAACAACCAAUGAAAAAUAACUUCCUACGGAAAGUCCUAGCAGUCUUAGCUAAAAAGUCCAAAAAUUGAUUGCGUACUCGUGGAACAUGGGUGAUCUUGAAGUCCGGGAAACAAAUAUGCAGCGUCUCUAUCUUUUCCAAUUCUGCCGCGAAGCUUGGUCACUUCUGGGGUUCAUUUACCAUUGCAAUCAGCUCCUUGCAGUCUGUUCCAAAGCUCUGGCAUGGCGAGUGUCGAAGCACAAUCUCCAUCGCCCAGCAGUGCUUCUACCUCUUAAUGCAAUGCUAAUUCAUAUCGAGUGAAAUUCCGUGUACCCAUAAGUUGUAUGUUCUCUCCACUAUCCAUCCAAGCCCAUCCACAUCUACUAAAGCGAUCAGAAGCUGUCCAAGAUCCAUCCAGUAGGCAAAUAUUAUCCAAGUUUAAGACUUGGGUUUCCUCACUAUUGCUGGCUUGUACUACCAAUGGUAACGUCUCAUUUGCACUAAACCGGACUUGACAUUCACUUUCUGCGUAUCGUAGUAGUUCUAAAGAAUCUCUGUCUAUUCCCCUGAAGAGUUUAUCAUUACGAGUCUUCCAAAUAUACCAUAUUAUCGAGGGAUAAGGAUCUCUGUCUUGGUCUGGGUCUAUGAUAUUAUUCUUCCUCCAAAGUAGAUAGUCCAUAUUUGUAUAGACGCUUGACAUUGGAAAUGUACCUUGGCUUGUAAGAGUUACCGAUAAGGACCAUACUUGUAGAGCAGGAUGGCAAUCGAAUAUAGCAUGAGUUACAUAUUUCUCUGCUUCCCCAUACCUAGGACAGUAAUUAUCACACCUUAUAUUCCGCUUUACUAGAUUUCUCGUUACUGCCACCUGACCCGUUAUCAAUUGUCAUAUAAGAUGACACAUCUUUUUUGGCGUUUUUAACUUCCAAGCAAAGGCUUGAAGUUUAAUGAUACUUGGUUCCAGUAUUUCUUUUUCCUCAUCUGGCUUCAACAGAUUUUAAGCAAUCCAGUAUCCAAAUUUAACUGUGUAUUAACCAUUCUUCGUGUAGUUGCAGCAGAAAGUAUUAUGACGAUGAGUAGAGCUUAUGGCCAUACUUCGAACGAGUGGUAUGUCAUCAGGAUGGACUCUUUCUUUUUAUAUUAGGUCCUUUAUUACUUCAUAUUCUCUCUCCUUUUAUCACAGAACUAACAAAACUUCACAUCUUCUGUUCUCUCCUUCUACGCUCUCUCUUCAUCUCUUUCUCUCUUCUUAAUCGAUUCGAUUGAUGAAGAUCAGGUGCGACGUCUGCGACAAAGAAGAAGCGUUGGUGUUUUGCACCGCCGACGAAGCGUCUCUAUGCGGCGGCUGCGACCACCGAGUCCACCACGCUAACAAACUCGCUUCCAAACAUCUCCGUUUCUCUCUCCUCAAUCCUUCUCCUUCCAACAACUCAUCUCCUAUCUGUGACAUCUGUCAGGUCUCUAUCAGUUUCUUGUCAAGAUUUUAGGACAUGGGUUUUGUCUACUUUCCUUGUUAAAUCCAUUUCUUUUCUUUUUGUUAAACUGUAGGAGAAAAAAGCUCUGUUGUUUUGUCAAGAAGAUAGGGCUAUUUUAUGCAAAGAUUGUGAUUCAUCGAUCCACUCCGCCAACGAACACGUCAAGAAACACGAUAGGUUUCUUCUCACAGGGGUUAAGCUCUCUGCAACAUCCUCUGUGUAUAAACCUACUUCAGAAUCUUUUUCAAGCAGUCAAGAUUGUUAUGUCCCUGGACCCCGUUCUUCCAAGAAACCUCUCUCAGCUUCUCAGAGCAACAGCUCUAAGAUCCAACUUACUUCGAAGAUAGUAGGUGAUGCGGCAGUGAAUCAGUUGGGAUCCACAAGCACGAUUUCAGAGUAUUUGAUGGAUACGUUACCUGGUUGGCACGUUGAGGACUUUCUUGAUUCCUCUCUUCCUCCUUUUGGUUUCUCUAAGGUUCGUUUCUUGUUUUUCUCUCUAAUCAAGUUCUGUUAAUCAAGAUUUGAUGUUUAUUUGUAACUUUAGUGACUGAAUAUAUCAUCACUUUCAUUUCCUCGGUUUACGUGAUAUCAUAUCAUAUCAGAUCUGAUUGAGAUACAUAAAAGUCACAAACUACUUUAUAGAUGUGGAUAGAUAUUUUUCUAAUUUAGGUAUUGUAUAAAGUUCUGAAUUAUUUUCACUUUUCUGUGUGUUUUCUUUUGUAAUUGCAGAGUGGUGGUGAUGAUGGAGUGUCACUUCAAUCUAAGAAUAUGGGGAUUUGGGUCCCUCAGAUUCCACAAACUCUUCCUUCUUCAUACACAAAUAAGUACUUUUCUCAGGACAACAACAAUAAUCAGAUUGGGAUGUACAACAACAAAGAAACAUCACCAGAAGUGCAGAUGUAUGCUCCAAUACAAAACAUGAAACAACAAGGACAGAACAAGAGAUGGUAUGAUGAUGGUGGCUUCACUGUCCCACAGAUUACCACUUCUUCUAGUCAUCCUACUCCUCUUCCUUCUAACAAAAGGUCCAGAUUUUUCUGGUAACUGACAUGUGGUCUUUGUUUGUUUGUUUCCCUUUUGAUCUUCUUGAUUUUUAGGGGUUUCGUUGUCUUUUGUAAAUUUUGAGUGUGAUUAAUGUUGCUGUUUUAAUCUUUAUAAUAAUCCUAUGUGUUCUCUUGUGUUUUAUGCAAAUGUUUUUUUUGUCCUAAUAAGUUUUCAUGUAAAAGUUUCCAUGACUUAUUUUGUGAAUCAUGGAGCUAGACAUUUUUGUGUUGAAGCAAGACUUCAGUGAAAGAAAUUAGCUAUUUUUAAUUAUAUAUUAUCUACAUUAUUUUCAUUUGUCAGGAGAAAUAAGUCAAAAGUUAAUGUAAGUUCCAAAUUCUAUGUAUGAAAUCUAAUGGUGUACGUAUUUUUGUUUGUGAGGAAGUCCUUUUCAUCUUCUGCCUUUCCCAUACGGGGGAGAGGAUUGUUCUUGGAUUUGGUUGAUAUUUAUUAAGAAAUAAAGAUAUGAAAAGAGCAUAUAAUGGAGAUAGAUUCAUCAUCACGUGCCCAUCACCAUCGGCAUAUAUUUGUUUCUUAGUGAAUAUGCCUCCAAAUAUGUUAUAACUAAAGAGACGUCACUAUGGCAGCAAAAACUAUUAAUAUAAACUACCAACACGUCCUUAGCUUGUUUUCAUUACCAAAGUAAGUGGAAAAGGGUAGUAAGAAAGCAUCAUGAGUCGAGUUGAAACUAAUCCAUCCAAAAUCAAUGACCACAUUGUUCUUAUUCACGGUUGGGACGUAGAAGUUGAGUUGCUUUCUACUACUCCUAAUAAGGGGGCUUUUGAAGUGUGGUUUGCGAAGGGAAUCGUACGUGAGUGUAUACAGAGGAUGGUUGAUGUCGUGUAUAUAGCUCGUUUUCGGUUUUAUUUGUUUCAAGUGCUGGACAUGUUGGUGUGACUUGGUUAGAAAAGACUCAUUAUCGUCCUUGUGCUAAACUGACCCAACUAAUUUAGGCCCAUAUUGUUUCAUUUAUAUCAAUCGUUUGCUUCUGAUAACCCGAAAGCUGACUUUUUGUCGAAACUUUUUUUCUUGUUUUUAUUUUUAUUUUUGAUAAGGAUGUGAAUUUCAUUUCAAAUGAGAGUUUUUGUACUCGUACAAAAGUUUAAAGAGGAAGCAAACCUAAACAAAAAAAAAUCAAAAAUUUAGACUACAUAAGCUAAGUUGAACCAUUAUUCAUGUGUCAACUUGAUUUGCUUGUCGAUCUCUUUAAAGCUCAUUUGCACUGAUAUUGUAGAUUCAUUAUGUACUCGUUGGUUUCGUUUGCGCCAGACUCUGUAGAUGAUUGCUUGAACCAUUAGCUUGCGGAGGAUAGAUGGACAGUGAGUAACCUUCAAUCCUAUCCAAACGAGAAGAGCUUCCAAAGUAUAGAAAAGAACUGGUAUGUAACCCAGUUUCCUUAUCGCCAUCUUCCAGAUUUCUUCUGCAUAAGCACAUCUUAUGAAGAUGUGAUCACGAGUUUCGUGAUAGUGAUUACAAACACAACAACAUGUUUCAAUCUGAAGUCCCCAUGAAGCAAGGCAUGAUCUUGUUGGAAGUCUGUCCAGCCGUGCUACACACAUCAUGAAAGCAUGGCUUGGAAUGUGACCUUUAAACCAUACCUUAUCCGCCCAAUUUGCUUGUGACCACGAUGCCUUAAUGUUUUCCAUGUGUGAUUUGCAGAAUAACUCAAAUCUAUGUCAUUAGAAGAUCAUGGAUAGAUAUCAUGAGCCAGAGAAAAAGAAGGCAGAGGUAUUGAGUUGAGCAUAAUCUGGAACUCCUCUGUUUCCGGUGAUCUAGCUGGUCGUAGUAACCAGCCAGGUUCCGAGCAAGCUUCUGCAACCUAAGAGGUCAACUGUAUUCAUGUUUGCGUUGGACCCAAGGACCAAAAUGCUCAAUUAAUGGACCAAAAGGGGACCAAUUGUCAAACCAAAAUCUAGCCAUAUGUCCAUUCUCAAGUACACAUUAAAUGAAUCUUUUAGGAAGAGGCCGCAUCUUGAAGAGAGCUUUCCAAGUCCAUGUUGCAGUCUUGUUUUCAUCCAAGCACCAAAACGAAGAAUUUUUGAUGUAUUGGCCUUAACCUAGAUUGCACAGAAGAGAAGCCAAAUGAGUUUGAGGCAGAAAAAUGCAUAGAUUCCUGAAACCAAAUCCACCUUCAUACUUAGGAAGACUGAUUUGAGACCAAGCGACUGUAGCUUUUGCUCUUGUUGUGAUGUAUCCAUUCCAAAGGAAUCUUGAGCAUAAUGAUUCAAUCAUUUUUAAUCACCCUUUAGGGAGAAGAAAAGAUGAAAACAAGAAGUUAAUAAUGCUAUCAAUGACACAAGAGAUUACGACUGUUUUUCCCGCAUAUGAGAGCGCUCUUCGAGUCCAUGAUGAGAAUCUGCGCUUCAAUUGAUCAAUCAGUGGUCUGUAAUCACAGAUUUGUAACUUACGAUGCAUCAAUGCGAAGCCAAGAUACUGGACAGGCAAUGAUCCAAGUGAGAAGCUGAGAGUUGAGAUGUCAGCAGCUUCUGACUGAUUCAAUCCUGAGAUAAAUAAUUCGGUCUUGCUACGGUUCAUUGUGCGCCCUGACCAGGCGGAGAAGGCUUCAAGAGUAUCUGCAAUGUUCUGCAAAUAGGUCAUUUCUCCAUCAAAAAAAUCAUUAAGUCAUCUGCAAAAGCCAUGUGAGAUAUAAGCGGAUUUGAUGCCCUCAGGUGAUGACCAAUUCUUCCAUUUCUGAAAUUUUCAUUCAGCAUUGAGUGUUUAAUUAGUAAUCACUGUUAUUUAGAUGUUUCAUUAGUGCUAACAUUUUCUUUAUUUAAAAUUGUUGCAUUUAUACUCAAGUCAGCCAGAAAUCAUGCUUAAAAGCUAUGAAGCACGGGGACGGCAAUUCACUGCCGUCUCACGUACCAGAUGCGCUUCCGGGACGGGGACGUGGUGGGGACGGCUUGGGGACGUUUCCGAAACGUUUCAGAUAGAGCGGGGAUGGCAAAGGUUUUUGGGGACGUGUAGCUAGGUUGUGGAAACGUUUCUGAUGUAAAUCCAGUAUCGAUUUUUACAUUUAUUAUGUCAUAUUUUUGGAAAACAAUUGAAAAACAAGGAAACACAUCCUUAUAUAAAGGAUUAUGGUUACAAAGUUUUAAACUAUCUUCUUUUAAUCUUAAGCAAACCCUUAUUAUCUUUUAUCUUUUUCAUCAAUUGUCAUUUCUCUACGUCUAUGGAAAACACAGAGUAUUACAAACUCUGUUUUGCGUUUGCCAAUUCUUACGUAAGUGUGUUGUUUAGUUUAUAUAUACUUUUCACGUUCCAUGCUUCUCAAGUUAUGUACGAAUUAUGUUACAUGUCUUUUAUUUUGAGUUUUAUGUUUAUACAUAUUUUGUUUUGUCUAUAUACAAUUUUCUAACUUUUUAUUUUAUAUGAGAAUUAUGAUUUGAUUAUAUAUAUAUAUAUAUAUUUUUUUUUAUUGACGUACCCAUGCCGUAUCCGUAUCCAUAAAUUUUAAGUUUAGCCGUUUUCCGUCCCCGCCUCCGUUCCCGUAUCUGUCCCCGUAUCCGUCCCGGUGCAACAUAGCUUAAAAGACAAAUGGUUAAAGCUGAGUGCUCUCGAGAAAGAUUUCGUUCAAAAAUUUUGAAGACGUCUUUUCUACUGUCUUAUACUUUGAUAUAUUUGGAUAUUUUCAUCAGUAACCAUUAUGAUCCAAUAUUCAUGAUAUAUCGAGAUAUGUUUUACAAAAUACUGAGAUGUAUUUUUUAGAUGUACGUUAAACAAUAACCAAGACAUGAUAAUAGUACACUGGACUGGUUGUUGGAGGCGGAAUUAACCCUUUCACAUUUGGUCCGAGAACCCGAUCCAUACAAUAGGCUCAUGAAGGUCCAAGGCUCAUGCUGAGCUGAAGAUAUGGUCCAUACCAAACUAAUACUUUCAAACUAUAGUAUAACAGAGCUAGGUCAAAGCAUUAAAAACGACUACAAAGGUACCUGAUCCUCGUCGGAGAUCAUGUCGCCAUUACGAACCACUCUUGAAGAUCUAUAAAAGAAAGCAAGGGAAAGAAGAUGGGGAUUCAAAUUAUUAUAAGCAAUUUAUAUACUUUGGAUACAUAUAUAUGUUCUGGUUCUUAGACAUCUCCAAUGUAUUCUCUUAUUUUUACCUUUAAAAUAGAAGAAUUCUAUUAUAGAGACAAGUUUUCUUCCAGUGUGUUUCUAUAAAAUAGAGAGAUUCAUAUAUAGAGUACAAUAUAGAAAAAUACUAUUUUUUCCUUUAUAAAUAAAAGAAAAAAUAGUAAUCUUUAUUUUAGAGAUAAAAAUAAAGAUGAGUCGUAAUGAUUUUGUCUCUUAAUGUUAUUAUAGAGGUAAAAAAAUAGAGAAGAAUUGGAGAUGCUCUUAGAAUUGCUAUGUAUGUGUACUUGAAUUAUAUUUGUAUUAUCAAUCAGAUUUUUUUUUUUCCUACAAAAUCAUCAAUAUACGUACUUAUUACAUGUUUCUUGUCAUACACGACAUCGAAAUCCUAAACCUAAUUUUUGAGUGGAUUUUGAGAUCUAUCAGUGGUGCUUUGUAAUGACGUUAAUUUCCGUUUGAAACAUUUUCUUUUUAAUCACUCUCUAGAGUUUUUCUCCCACUAUCUACAGACUACAGUUGUAUAAACUUCGCUUUGAGUUCCUCUCAUUAACAAAAGAAAUUCCCUCUUUCUCAAAACGGAACUCACUAAAUGCUCUUAAUGUCAAUACAUGAAUCAAGAUGUUUAUCCAUGAACUCUUAGUUCAUUAUAGAAAUUAAAGCCAAAAGAACUACAAAUUAAAAGCCGUAAAUGAAUCAAGAUCCGAAUAUAACGGCUAAGUUUUUCGUUGUCGGCUCUCAAGAAGCUUGAAAAGAUUAGAGAAGAAACUUUAAGAACUAAGGGUAUAACAACAACAAAAAAAAAACAAAGAAAUCAUAAAAAAAAUUAGGAUCGUUGAAAACAAGCAAUAUAUCUCUCUAACGACGGCAAUGCGGUUUGCAGAGAAAGAGACAAUCAUAAAAACAAAAACCUCCACAAUGUUGAGGACAUUCCAAUCUCUUUCCUCUACAUUUCCCUUUUCCCUUGCACUCUGCAUAUUCUCUUUUCACAAAUUCUCCUCUUCCUUCUCUUCCUCCUCCGCGGCCACAAGCCCAUUUGUACCAUCCUCUACCACCACCUCCUCCUCCUCCCCAUCCCCAUCCACCACCUCCGCCCCCACCGCCACCACCUCCUCCUCCACCACCACCACCACCACCUCCACCGCCACUUCCUCCUCCUCCACCGCCGCCACCUCCCCAUCUAUAGCUAUUGCUUCCUCCACCAUGACUUGAUAUUUUCUUGUCCUUGAGAACUAUUUUGGUGGCUAUGUUGCUUUUAUCAAUGUUGUUGUUGAUGUUCUUGACUGUGUCUUGAUCAGUGGAAUGGACAUGCCCACUCUCUAGUUUGUUAGUUUGCAAGAUCAGUACGAGGAGAAAGAUAACCACCAAUGACGAACUUGUCUUCAUUUUUCUUGAUUUUCCACAAAGUUUGUAUUGUUUUCUUUGAUUUGAUAUGACAGCUUCUUCGAUUUGGUCCUCUCUUUAUAGUCCAUUUGUUUUUACCCUUAAAUGAAAAAAAAAAAAAAAAAACUUCUCACUGGCAGUUAGGUUUGGUCCUACCCAGAAUAAUGUUUUGGUCCUACAAUAAUAUUUGUUUUGUCCUGAAGAUGAAGAAAAGAAGAGGCUCGUAAUAAUGUUUUUGUCAACUUAUUAUGUGUAUUCUUUACAAACGUAUAUUGACAUAAUUAGUUAGCUCAAUACAGAAGGUUUCUUAUAAAGACGUAGAAAAUAUUCCUAUAUAUGAUCAACUCUUCCUAGUUAACCAACAAAAAAAAACUAAUUAUUAAGUGAUUAUAUACACAAAGAAGAAGAAGAGAGAUCCCUUAGGUAACACUACUAGUGGUGGUACCAACCAAUCAAUACUCUGUCUUCUCCUUCAAUGAACAUCUUUCUUCUUCUUCUUCUUCUUUUUUGUCAACAAUACAAAAAGAAAACUUAGGCAAUGAUGCCACUAACGCAUUAUAUUCAAUCAAACUUUUUUUGCAAGUUGGUAUUUGUGGAGUAUUUGGUACGGUUAUUUAUACUUACCUUGAAAGUUAUCCAAUUUCAUUUCAUCUACUUAGUCAUGAAACUGGUCCACCGUUUAUCUCCCACUAAGAGUUUCAUUGUAUAUAAUCAAUUUGAUCUUUUACGAAUUGUUUAAUAGAUACCCAGAUGAACUAUGAAUGGCUUGCUCACAAAAUACAUUUACUUGCAUACCACAAGAUUAUCCUCCUUAAACCAAUCCUUUUCAAUAAUUCAAGAUUGAUAACCAAUGUUUUGUAAUAAAAAUGGAUUCUGAAAACUUAAAACUCUCCAUCUAUUUCAAAUUUCAUAUAACACAAUCAAUGUCUAAAACCUCAUAAAACCAACUUUGACUCAUUCCAACAGUAAAAAAUACAAAGUAAGUAAAACAAGAGAGCAGAGCUUAGAAUCACCAAACAUGAACCUAAAGAGUAUGAAGAAGAAUGAACUUCGAUUGGUUGAUUUUAAAACUUCAGUAACGGCGGCCUCCACAGUUAGCGAGCCGAGCAGAUGGGCACUCGUAAGCCAUAUGUCCUCGGCCACCACAGCUGUGCCAUCUUAUCAUAGAACCAGCACCUUCUCUUCCCUUUACUCAAUCCAUCUCUGUCAGAGUAACUGCUGUCCCCUUUUGGGCAUUGUCUGACAACAUGUCCCGAGAUGCUGCAAAUGUUACAGACUGGAUCGUUCUAGCAAUCACGAGCUAAGUGACAUGACGUCCAGCAGUUUUUGCAUGCCUUGUCGUUCGUGCAGUCCGCAGCGAGAUGCCCCGGUUUGAAGAACUUGUUGCACAGCCUCCAGUCCCCUAAACGAGAAACCGAAUUAGGAUAAUCUCUAACAAUAAUUGCGACGAUAACAUCAUCGCAGUAGUAGAUGAUAACUUCAUCCCCAAAGUAUGUAUGGAAGCAAAGAGUUAAACUAAAACCAACCUAACGCUAUCAACUCAGGUAAAGAACACAACAAACACGGAGACUAAUCAUAUCAUCUUGGUAACAAGUAGAAGAGAGAGAAGAAGGAAUGAGAGUUGAGAAGUUGUUAAGCAAGUCCAAGUCAUAAGCACGUAGUAUUGUGGCUGCAUUGACAGCUAGGCAUUACCAACAGUGUGAUUACUACUACACAAAGGCUCGAGCCAAAAAUGACCUGAAAGCACGAUGUGUCUCAUGCUUCCUUCUACAAGGAGCAUCGCUGCGAGAAACUUGUUCAGAUAUCCCUUCCAUAGAGUUUUGUUUCUGGGCUGGGCUUAUUACGUGGGCCGAGCUAUGAAUUUAUCUGAAAUGGCCGAAUUGCACAUAUAAAAACUAAAAAACACCUCCGUUGCCGGCACUCGAACCCGGGUCUCUCGGGUGAGAGCCGAGUAUCCUGACCAGCUAGACUACAACGGAUUUGUGGUUUAUGUGAACAAGUUGCGCAUAUUAAUUACUUAUCUACUUUUAACUUUAAGUUCUACCAUAGUAUAAAAUGGCGCUAGUGUAGGUAAACACAAACCCUAUAGCAUAACAAUAUAAAUCUUGAAUAAAUUCCCAAUAUGAUAGAACACAUCAAUAUUGUGUGGUUUGGACAUACAAUUGUAAUAAGGUUAAAUUGUUUUGAAGGGGUGAAAAUGCAAUUAAUGUGAUGUGUGUACCUACUUUUGUUCAUAAUAAAAUCGAACACUGUAUAGGGUUUAUGUAUUAGUUAGCAAAAACUUGUUACUUUUGACCCAAAUUUUUUUUGCUAAAUUACUAUAUUGAGGGGAAAUAUUAGUCUUGUAGUAAGAGGGUAGAGAAAAAUAGAAAGCAAAAAAAGAGAGAGGGAGUGAAAUGGUUAGUUGGUGAAAUAUAGAUUUUUUUUUUGUUAUAGGUUCAAAUUUUCCUUGUUAUAAAUUGCAUGUUUUUAGAAUGUAUAGUUUAUUUCUAGUCAAAUAUCUUUCUCAUAACGUUUAUUUCAAACAUAUAAAAUUAUCUUUGGUAGUCUAAGUCACAUUUUAUAAUAUUAAAAAUAAACAACAAAAAUGGCAUAUUGGCCAAAGUUGAGGUAUGGUUAGUUGUGUCUUGUAAAUUCGCUUUAAAAUAUACAUGAUGGUCCUAUGUGUUUUCAGUUUAUGCCAACUACUUCGCUGUUGUGACUACAAGAAAUAUUGGUUUUGAUAGCAGUAGAGAAUAGCGUUUUUUGUCUUUAUGCUAUGGUUGACAUAACCGUUAGUUUUAGAUAGCGUUUGUAUAUUUUGAAACGCUAUGAUAACGUAGUAUAUUUGGAAACGUUAUGAUAGCGGAUGUUUAAUAGCAAAAUAAUUAAAAUGCUAUGUUUGGUUUAUCUAAUCCCUAAACCCUAAACUCCAAGUAUAAACCUUAAAAAUCUUAUGUUCUCACACUAUAACUUCAAAUCUUGAAUUUUAACUCAAAUUUAUUCUUUUUAAGUUUAAUAUAUAACUUCCAAAUACACAAACCUUAAUUCCUCAAUCAAACUCUAUACCCUAAAUCCUAACAUGAAACAUAUAUAAACCAUACAUCCAAUACAUAUAAAUUUCAAAUCUAAAAUUUUAUUAAUCUAACAAAUUAUAAAUCUAAAUCUUAAUCACAAAUCCUUAUAUAGUAACUAUAACCCUUGUACUUUCAAAAUUUUUAACCCUAAAAUCAUAACACAAAACACUUUACACAAACUAAUUAUAAAAACCCCAUUAUGCAGUUUUUGAAAAUCAUAUAACCACAAAAAUCUAAUCAAAAUUUAUAUUCAUAUGUUAAAUUACAAUAUAUAAUCUUUACAUUUAGGCAAUUUAUAAAACAAUUAAAAAGAAAUCUAAAAACAAUUUUAGUGCUUCUUUUUAUGACCAUUGAUUGAUUCUAAUCUAAGGGCUGAAAUUAUUCUUUUGUCUAUCUCAAACCUUCUCUGUCAUUGGUUAAUUUUUUUCUAAAAGAUCAGAGUUCUUAGCCAUUGAUGCAACGUAAUCCAAAGGCCACAAUUUAGUCUCUCUUUCUCACUUAUCUUCUCCUAUACGACUUUUUAUUUUUCUUUCUUCAGCGACAACAUCGAAGAUGAACCCAAUGAGGGCAAAGCACCUGGUUGUUGGACCACCAUCGAAGAAGAGACGACGGCACCGGUCUGAGUUCGUCGCUGUCGUCACCGGUCUCGAACUCGGAGGGAGCAUGGUGGUGCUUAGUAGCGAGGGUGAUUUCUGAAACGGCGGCGGAGAGAGGAGGCGUGAAGAGUUCGAGGUGGUGAUGAAGUUUUGUCAAAGCAAAGCCCUCGCAUCAUCGCAGUGCUCAUCCUCUUGUCCAGUGACGUUUUAAAACUCCUGAAGCAGGUUCGGUUGUUGUGACUCUCUCUCUCAGCAUCUGUGUUUUCUUAAUUUUGGGUAUUAAUUUUUAGGGUUUUCAGAUCUGUUUAUCCAUGUCAGUUAUGAUUCCUUUUUUUUUUUGGAAAGCCAAUGUCAGGAUUACACAGGUGAAGUUUGGAUUGUUCUUUUAAGAUGUAUCCUCGGAUUUGAUUAGUGAAUCACGUGUUCUGUUCUGAGACUUUCAUUUGAUUCUUAAGAUGGCAAAGGAAGCUAGCGGUGGUGGUGGAGGUGAAGCCGAGCAAGAAGAAGAAGAGAGGUGGAGAAAGAGAGAUGACAAAGACACAAAAGGAAGAAGAGGAUGCGGCGAGGUGGAUGGGAGAAGAUUAGAUUUAGGUUUAUUUUUUAAUCUGUGUUUAGGCUUCUUUUUAAUUUUGGGUUUUGUUUUUGUAAUACAAUUUUAAUUAAUAAAUUAAUUUUAAUUAUAAAUCAAUUUUAAUUUAUAAAUUGCUAUUUUGAUAUAUAUUUUUUAAUUUUUUUUUAUUAUUUAAUAAGAUAAUAAUAACGAAAAAGAAACGCUAUAAAAAAAUAUUUAAUUGCAUACAUAAAAGCGCUAUAAUAUAUAACAAUAAGAUAGCAGUGCAAAAAACCGCUAUCUAAUGUGCCUGACCUACUAUAACGGGCGAUGAUACAGCGCUUCAUAAACCGCUAUCGUAUCGUUAGAUAGCGUUUUUCGUCCGCUAAUAAAAGUCUUUUUUCUUGUAGUGUGGACCUAACAGAAUUAGAAUAGUUUCUACAAAAAAAUGAAAAAAUAAAUAAAAAAGUUUCAGUUGUGACUGACCAAUCUCGUUGAUGGAAUGGAAUAUAUAUGUAUGAAGUUUGGUUUCAUUCUAAGAAGAGAUUCGAAAAUAAAUGAAAAAAAUAAAAAUAAAAGUUUCAGUUGUGACUGACCAAUCUCGUCACAUUUCAAUGCAUUUACUUAUAAACGUAUUUAUUUACCUAAAAGCAAAUAACAAUUUUAUGUCGGUCGAAAAUGCGGUGAAAUAGAUUUGACGAUGAAGACGAAUUUACACACCAUAAAAAUUCAAGAAAAGAAAAUAAGGCUGGCAUUUGUUGGAUGAAUCCCAGAUAUUAAAUAUCGAGGAGCCGUAACGAGUUCUAGUAAGACACCAUUAAGUCCUUAUCGAUCUCCUUAUUUACAACCUGUCUUUAUUUUUAACCAUCAUCCUCAACCACAUGCUGCUGUGUUUGCUAACUGUUCAUCGAUCAGGCUCGUUGUUAUUGCACAAACAACAAACCCGUCACGGCUUACGACUUUUUUUGUCUCUCGCUCUCGUCUACUAAUUAAUUUUUCCCAAGAAUUUACGCGUGAUUUUGUUUUCUUUCUAGAUUUUUUUUCGACAUUGUAUAUGUAGUAAAUGAAUUAUGAACGCAGACAAAUUAUGCUACUAUUUUCUAAAGUUAUUGUACGUAACUGUAUGUGGGCAUGCAUUUUGGAAUUUACGAAUCUCUUUCUGUUAUUUUGGUCUCUCAGCCAGAACUUAAACUUUCAAGUCAUAAUAUAUAUAUGUAUAUAUGUUAACACAAUUUUAAAACUUAGCCAGAUUUUUAUUAUGGACUCAGAGUACGAAAGAACCACGUAAGUAUAAAUAAUAGCCUCUGCGGAUAGUAAGAGCAGGAUUAUUUAGGGGUGGGUUCCACCACAAAAGAAGAAGAACCGACCCCAAAGACGCUAGAUAUGGCGAUGAUGCUUGAGCUAUUUCGCAGACCCCGCUGAUACAUGGCAGUUUGCGAUUGAAUCAUUUUUAUUUUUUUUUUUAAAUCAGAAAAAACCAAAGCAAAAAAAAGUUAAACAUCCCACUUUGGGUGUUAUGGUUAAUGAUGCUCUUAGAGCAUCUUUAAUCCUAAGAGUCCAUUAGAGGUUUUAAUUUUUUUUUUCUCUUUUGUCCAAUUUAAAAAAAAAAAAAUUUAAGUAUAAUCAAUUGCGAAUCGCUAUUAGUGGAAUCCGUAAAUAGUACAAGAACUACAUCAAACUCGCCUCUUAGAGAAGAUUAAAAAAGGUGAGUUUUAGUUUUUUGUGGGGUUUACACUCUUUAAAAGUCAGGGUUAAAAGUGCUCUUAGCGAAGUAAAUUUGUAAAUUAAAUAUUUGGAGUUAGAGGGGCUACUACUGCAACUUGGACCUGUAUUUAAUUAUCAAUACUUUAAUAUUUCUAUCUAAUUUAUUUUAACCUACAGGCUACAGCAUAAAUUACUGAUUUAAUUGCUAACUUUUAACCUUAUGCGAAAAAUGAUUUACUUACUUUUAAUAAAUGGACCACGUACGUUACCAAACAAACAUGAGAUCUUAACUACUUCCUAUACUGAUUAAAAUAAGGAAAUUACUAAACACCUCAACGUUUAGUUUACUUAAGAACUAAGAUGGUGGAAGACAUAUAAAUUAGUAUAAUACUAAGUUUUAAAUCUAUUGUGUUUUUAAAACAAAACGGAAAAGUGUGAAAUCGAAACUUUAAUUCUUACUCUUGAAAUUUUAAAAAAUUUAUUAAUUAAGAAAAAUUGUAUUUAGAUUGCUAAUGGUAGAGGGAGAAAGCGUAGUAUGUAAUUAGGAAGGCAUGUCUGACACUUGAAACAGUUGGAGAGUCCAAGUUUGAUUACUACAAGUUUGUGGUCCCGAACAUCGACCCCUUUCCUCUGCUUCUUCAGUUCUUUGUUUUUUAUAAUAUAAAGAUCCAUUGUAUAUGGUUUUCCAAGUGGACAAAAGUUCGGUUAUACGCAGUGGCGAAUCUAGAUAGGUUUUGGGUGGGCAGCUGCCCCUCAUGAUUUUGUGAAAGUAAGUGUAAUUGUUCAAAGAUUUUUUAUGUUGCCUUUUGAUAUGUUAUAUACUUAUAUACUCUUCCGCCCCGGAUGAGAAUGCACCACCACUGGUUAUAAUACGUGUUACGUUAGCACUUGGAGGAUUAUCAUUUUUCUAAUCGUAAUUCUCUCGUUCUAUAAAUAUUUUUGUAUAUUAUUACCCACUAGUAGCUCAUUAGGUACUACAACAAGACUCCUUUUAUGCUUACGAAGAUUCAGCUUUCAUGACUUCUUUUAUUCUUCUAGAUUCACCGGUUCAGUAACCACGAUUGUGGUACGCUUCUGUACUUUUCUUCCUAAUUGCAGAAAUAUACAGAAAAGAUGUGUGAAUUUUCAAAUUUAAUUUCUUAUAAUUAAAUGAUAAUUCCUACCUAUCAUCUUUUGACCCACAAAACUAACCAAAAAGGAAAUUCCUUCGUGACAUCCCCAAUCGUAGAUGACCGGAAAUGGCACGAUCGAGGUUUUUCGAUGGUCGAUCUGAGGUUUUCAGAAUACUUCCGAUCGUUUUAGACCAACAACCAAAAAACACCAAUGUUCCGAUCAGAUAUCAUCUAGGCUUUUCAAUUCGAAAAAGCAAAACUCGAUAGUUAGUUCGUCCGGACAAAGACUAAUAUCAUAUGGAACCCGUACUUUAAAAACUAUCUUUAUAUAUCAUUCAAAAACAUCUUACAAAAUUUGCUAUAAAUUACCUCGAAGUUUUCGGUUAAAAAACUUUAUACGAAGAUAUAUUAAACGGCUUUGCAAGGAUAAUAAAACUACCGCUGGCUAAUGUUGUUCUUUCAUGUCCUAGAGUAAGGUAUCCCGUCUACUGGUUACAUGCAUCACAAAUGAGUCAUGAAUAAAUAACUGGUAAUUAUCAAAUAAUCAUAGCCAAUACGGAAUAAUUUCCGUUUUCAAUUAUAAUAAGUUUAUUUUAGUCGGUCUUAAUACCAAAGAUGGCUUGCUGAUUGAAAAUAAAACGUACUAACCCUAAAAAAGCAAUAUUUGUGUAAGACGUAUAUAGUAAUGAGUAAUGACAUUUGACGAUAUUUUGAAAGUUUUCGAAAGGAAAAAUGAUUGUUCACUAUAUGAAUUAUUGGUCAUCACAUGGCUAACCAUAUAAACUAAACAAAUGUAUACUUACCUAUACGAAGUAUAUAUUAUACAUGACAACAUCUCUCAACUUUAUGAUGUUAUGUAGUUAAGAUCACGAAUUUAAUUUCGUAUCCAAAAAAUAAUGUGUAUGUCAUAGACUAUUUAAAUCUCUCGCUACAUCAAUUAAAAUGUGACGUACCUGACGGUAAUUUACCUAAACUAGAUUUUGGUCCCUGUUUUAAAAGCGUAAAAAUAUUUUUAACAAAAUCUAAUUUACAAAAUCAAUAUGUUUAUAAAUUUUGAUAAGUAGUGUUUCAACAUUUUUAUUUUAGUAUAUUUGAAAACAAUAUAAUUAUAUUAUUUAUAUUUAUAAUUUAAUGUAGUUUUUAAUUCUUUUAAUCUGUUUUGGUAUGAUUUUUUAAUAAAAUUUAUGUAAUUCAUUUGAUUAAUUGUGUGAUAUAUACUUAUUUGAUAAACACAUUUACUAUAAAACUUCUUUGAUGUCAACUUAUUGACUCUAACAUUUUACUUGUUUAAUAUGAAAUUAUUAAGUAAAUGAAUUAUUUUAUAUAUUUUUUCAUAAACAAAAAUUUCACUCAUUUAAACUUAGUAAACCUUUCAUAUUACAUUCUUAGUUUUUGAUUAUUUUUAUUCUUAAAAGUAAAUAAUUUAUAAUUAUAUACGCAAGAUUAUGUUUGGUUUAAGUUGACAUCAAAUAAUUUUUAUAAUUAAAAAAAUAUGAAAGAAGUAUAUAUCACACUAUUAAUCAAACGAAUUACAAAUUGUUGAGUAAAAGUUCAUAACAAAACAGAUUAAAUAAUUAAAAAAACAGAUUAAUAUAAAUAAAAAUAAUAGAAUUAUAAAGUUUUAAAAGACACUAAAAUAAAAUGUUAAAACACUAAAAUAAAAUGUUAAAACACUAAAAUAAAAAUGUUAAAACAUUACUUAUUAAAAGUUCAUAACAAAAUAGAUUAAUAUAAAUAAAAAUAAUACCAUUAUAUAGUUAAAACAUAUUGAUUUUGUAAAUUUUAUUUUGUUAAAAAUAUUCUUACGCUUUUAAAAUAUGGGUCAAAAUCUAAUUUUAGUUAAAUUAUAGUCGGAUUGGUCAUAUUUUAAUUGUGGAAACAAGAUAUUUAAACGAUCUCUAACAUCCACAAAUGAAUAAUGAAAUUAAACUCGUGAUGUUAGCUACAUAACAUCAUAAAAUUGAGGGAUGUUGUCAUGCAUAACAUAUACUUCGUGUGGUUAGGUAUACAUUAGUUUAGUUUGAAUUGUUAGUUAUGUGGUGACCAAUACUUCAUGUAUCUAGCGAUCAUUUCUCUUUUUAAAAACAUAAGCUGUAUUUUCCCAGAAGUAGCACAAAUCUCUAAUUCGCAUUUGAUACUAUUGAAACAACACCUCUUAACCAAUUACUUCCUUUAUAAUCUCCAUAAAAGUUAUAUGUUACUGUUUGACAACGUGCAUGAAGUAACACGUUGUGUGAUACUCCUUUGAGGCUUUGAGUAUUGAAUAAACAACUUGAAUAAAAUCAUAGAAGCCCCUACGCUCGAUGAAAUUGGGACAGCUAAAUGGGUAAAUGUGUCAAGAUAACACGUAAAGGGGAGACAAUAACAAAUUUUAAUAAAACCCGUAUCAACCUCGAAGGAUGAAAAUGAAACAAACCCUAAUUAAUUAAAAAAAUCAUCGAGCAUUAUCAGUAGUUGGAUAUUCAAAUAGUUUCCAACCACGAAACGUGAAAGGAAGAUCAAUAUCAGACCGUCCGUUUAAUAGAUUCCACACAUACUAGCACGUCUUCCUUUGGAAUUACCUUUCACAUUUUUUUUUUUUGAACUUACCUUUCACAUUUUUUGAGCUAGUGAAAAUGUAUAUAAAUAACUAAAUUACGACACCAUUUUUGCGUUUUAUAAGAAAAUAUCAUUAAUUGUCUCUUGCAAUCUCUACAUAUUAUCAGUUCUGCAAACAAAUUAAAUGUGUAUCACCUUAAUGCACAACAAAUGGUUAUCCGUAGCAAGCACGCAAUUUCAUAGUCAGACAACAAACACAUCACAAUCUCCCUCUCUCUAUGUAUAUAUAUAUAUAUAUACAUCACACAUGUGGGUGUACAUCAAUUCGUGUAUAUAUGCUUUAAAAUCCGUAUAUUCAUUUUGAUCUUUAUAGAAAAAAUCCCACUCGCCAUAUAUAGUCCCUCAAUAAAUACCCCCAACCACAUUCCAUAAGCCCUCCCUCACUCUAUUCACACUCACCCUUCAUUGUAAAAGCAACAAACAGGGAAGAUUUUCAAACUAAAAUCACGUACAAACAUUUCAUUUAGGAAGAACUUGAAAAUUAUGGCGAUGAAAAAAACAAGCAAGCUAACACAAACGGCAAUGAUCAAGCAAAUCUUGAAGAGAUGCUCGAGUUUGGGGAAGAGGCAGAGUAAUGUGUACAGCGAAGAUGAAAACGGACAACCUCUUGACGUACCUAAAGGACAUUUCGUCGUCUACGUUGGAGAGAAUCGAGUCAGGUACGUUGUACCCAUUUCGUUUUUGACCCGACCCGAAUUUCAGCUUCUUCUCCAACAAGCAGAGGAAGAGUUUGGUUUCGAGCACGACAUGGGUCUCACUAUCCCUUGUAAAGAAGUCGUUUUCCGAUCUCUCACGUCUAUGCUCCGAUGAACAUAUCUUUUAGGGUUUUGCUUCUUUUUCUUAAAUAAUACAUUUCAAAUCGUUAGUUAGGAUGACAGAGGAAGCUGCUAAGUAAAUGCUUCUCUGUUUUAGCAAAAAUAAGUUUUAUUUGUUUUGGCUAAUAUGGGUUUAGAGUUGUAACUUGUAAGAGUGAGACCUAACCCUUAUUUAGAGAACCCCAAUGAGAAUGAUUUAUUAUUUUUGGUUAUUUUCUCAGAUUUGUAGAAACCCAAAAACAAAACAAAUUUCUGGAGAAGAUCACUCUCACGGUUUUGUGGUUGAUGAAUGUGUACCCUGUGAGAAAGGUUUUUAAUAUUUAAUGAAUGAGACUUAAAAUUAUCAGGCUUCAGGUUUUAUUGGUGUGGUUAUUUUUGCAUACAUUAAUGAAUCUUCGUGUAAUCUCAUAUACAUUAUUUGAGAAGUGAUUUUGCCAUGUGUUAUCACUACAAUAAUUUUGAAAGAAAAAUGAUGGCAUAGCUUGAACAUAUUUGUGACAUGAAUAUUUACAUUUGAUGCAGAUUUAUAUUUUUGUUAAAUUUUUUAGAAUAUGAUGAGAAAUCAUUAAUAUAACAAUAAAUCAUGUAAUACUCUAUCCGUUUCAUAAAGAAUGUCAUUUUACAUUUUUCACAUAGAUUAAAAAAUGAUUGAAAUGCAUUAAAGUUCUUAUUAAUUACAUAUAUUCAGCCAAUAUUAUUUGAGAUAAAUGAAAUUAUGUAUAAAAUCAAUGCAUUUGUAAUUAAUUUAAGCUGAAAGUUGCAUUGAAAUUCUAAAAUAACACUCUUUUUGUAACAAAAAAAAUGCUAAAGUGACAUUUAAUAUGAAACAGAGGGAGUAGUAGAAAUAAAAAUAUUUCAAUAUUUUUUUUACAAAAUUCGAAAUAUUAUUUAUUUAUGUUUUUAUAAUUAUAUAACUUUAUUACUAAAAUUUUUUUUCCAAAUUUUAUGCAGUUUUUUAUAACAUUGAAAUUUUCUAAUCCCAAUACCAUUAGUUUUUAAUAUCUACAAAUUUUAGAAAUAUUAUUUAUUUUUCGUUUUGAUAGUUAUAUAACUAACAAAAUUUUCUCUUAAUUUUAUAGAAUUCGAUAUAAUAUAUUUUAACCAAAAGAAAUAGAUUAAAAAUCUUUCUAAAGAUUAUAAUUUUAAUAUAUACAUAUAUAUUAUUAAAUAUAAAAAUUUAUUUUAAUUGUUACAUAAAAAUAAAGAAAAAAUUGAAAAUUAGAUAUUGUAAGCCGAUAAUAAAAUCUAAAAACUAACAAAAAUUUAUUUCAAUUUUAAAUUUUUAUUUAUGUACAUCGUGUAGGAAAACACCUAGUUUAGUAAUUUAUAUCAAGUUAAGCUAGCAAAAGCUGCAAGUACAGAUCGUUCCGUUUUAGGGUAUUGUCCCUCUCUUUCAUAUUUCAAACUUUCCCAUCUUUUUAAUUUGUAAUCUUGAAGUUUUCUCCUUUUCUGUAUAUAAGUUUUUUUUAAAGAGAAAGAGAUACACGAUAAAACUUACAUUCAUACAUCAGAAUCUGUAGACAAUCUUUGAGAAGGAAAAUAGCAGUAAGUCAAACAAUCCUAGAACUGCCAGCACUCUUACCAAGAACCAACCAAGCACAAAAGAGAGUAAGCGAAGAGGUGGCCAACACAACAACACAAGACCAAACAUACCUGAACCCACCGUUCACGGUACCAAUUGCCAGAACUAAAACGCCUAGCACGAAACUCCACAAAGAGAAGAGACCAGCACCAGAAACUAAAGCCCCUUCCUCCAGUGGAGCCUUCAUCGGAAGGUCUAAACCCCCAACCUCCUUAUACUGCUUCACCAGAAGCCACCGAGGGACGAGCGAAUCAGACGAACAACCGGAACAAACUUAUUAAAAGGUACGAGAAGGACUCCUUCAAGCCUGAGAGAUAGAGAGGUGACAAGAAACUUGAACUUCUGGAGAACAAUAGGUUCUAAAGAACAAUAGGCAUGUUCUGCUCACCACACACAGCCACGCCACCACCAUACCUCCACUUACACCGUUGUUGAACCCAGACAGAACAGUAAAAACCACCAAAGACACCUCAUAUUCACUCUCCCUGUCCACUAACAAACAUCAGAUGGAAUAAAUGAUGAAACACAGACAAAGCUGAAGCAAUCAGACAAGGUUAACCCAAAACAACAACAUCUGGACCGGAUUCUAAAGAGAUCCGACAAUUCAAGAUCUAGAAAUCUAAAGUACAUCAAAACCCUAAAAAUCCAAAUCUGAUAAGAGGACAGGAGGAGCUGAUGAUGAAAAGAGAGAAGGACAGAUCAAACUACAAAAUAAAACUAGAGAUCCGGCUCCAAUGAUGUGUAAGCCAUCGGAGCCGAAGGAGCAGCGGCGACUUUUUCUUUCUUUUUUUUUCUCUCUAGGCUUUUAUCAUCGCCUCUCUCUUUCUUACGGUUUUUAGCCAUUAAAACUGUUAAAGGUAACUAGGUAAUUAAAGUGUCUGGAUCGAUGUUAUGAAGUUGCUGAAUCGUUACAGAAUAUAAAUUAUAUAACCAUAUAUAGCGUUCUGCUGUGUUGAGAUUCUCCAAAAAAUGUUAUGUUUGUAAUUAAUUUAUGAGAUUAGAAGGUAAGAUAGGUAUUACAUAUUAAUAUGGUAUUAAAUAAAUUUGGAAUCGUCAUUUUCUAAAAAGCAUACUUGUUUGAAAGUAGUUGUCGUCAUUUUAGAAGUGAUAUGUAUUGUAUUAGGGAUAAGCAUCCCAUAUCGGAAAUUCAAAGGGACCUUCAAGUAAUAUAUAAAAAAUUAGGGUCAUUCUUAUAAUCACCAAUUAGUUUUAAGUUGGAAACUCAUAAUAAAUUCGAAUCUAACAUGCUAUCAGAGCUCAUAUCCUAAAACAUACUAAACCCCAAAUUAAUAUUUAUCCUUCUCGACCGAGUAUAAAUUUUGUACUAAAACUCGCUCGACCGAAUAUAAAUGUCCUAAAGUUCUGAGAUUUCUAACCGAUAAAAGUCGUCAAGAAUUCAAAUGGACCUUAAAUAAUAUAUAAAUGCUUACGCUUAAUCCACUAAUCACCAAUUGAUUUUAAGUUGGAAGUCUGAUACAUUUCAGGAAUGAUUAACUCUCACUACUAUAUUUGUGAACUUAAAGUAACUAAAAGCAAUAUAACCCAUAACUCUAAUAACCCAGCCUUAGAUGUUGAUGUUCAACUGCCAAAUUAAUUUUGAUAUUACUGCGAUAUGGUAUUUAGUUUUAUUUAUUUACAAAACCGAAUACAUUUUACUUCAAAUGUAUAAUAAGAUCAUAAAAGCAUAGGAUUUGAAGAGAUAGAUGUUCAGCUUGAUACAUACAAUCGUCCUUAUGAAAUGAAAAAUAAUAAUGUUGAUUGCCAAAAAAAUAAAAAGUAAUAAUAAUGUGUUUGAACAAUUUAAGGCUAAAUAAUUGUUCACCAUGAAUUAGUAUAAGCCUAACCUUGUAUUUAAGAAUCUUUUUUUUAUCUUUUUCGAGGGAUUCUUAGAUAGCUCAUUGAUAAGUCUUAGCAGCUCUAAAUUCAAGUUUUUUCUUGUAUCUCAAUGUCAUUUUUACGAAAUGAAUUCACAUUUGUCAAAAAAAUAAUAAUUUAUUUGUUUGACAAAAAAAAAUUGUUUUUCAAAUGGGCUUAUUUGCCAAAUAACCAAAAAAAAGAAGAAAAUUUAGAUUUUGGGAGAGAGAGUAGAGAGAGAUAGGAAGAGAGGAAAGAGGGAGAAAUUUUGGUUAGUUAGUGUAUUUAAGUUUUUUUCAUGUAUAUAGGGUGCAAUUUUCCUUUUCCAAUUUGGUUUUGUAAGAAAAUAAGAAAAGUUGGACAUGUCAAAAUCAGCUGAUAAUCACAUGCAACGCAAGUGGGACCCGUACAGCUUAAGAAUUCUCGUAUCGUUGAAGUCCCUACAUAAGAUUCCAAUGGGUUUUUGAUCUAUAGAACACCGCGUGGUAAGUGGUGGAGCCGUCUCAAUUAUUUGGACGGCUAAGAUAUUACGGUAAACUUGUCUGAUCAUGGGUUUCGAGAACACGAUAAUGCACUCCUUACCGUACGGUACUUAACAACCGGGUCGACUUUCUUUCGAUCAAUGAUCAAAAAUCAUCAGGCCACUAAAUUAGAUAUCAAACGUCGCUUUAAUUUUAUAAAAAUCCAGACUCGAUGGGGCUGUUUAGGCCUGGACGUUUGGGGCUCGUUCGAUUUUAUUCGGUUGAUUUGAAUUAUUAGAUUUUUCGUACUAUAUUCUUAAGUCUCAUUUUGGUUUUAUUAAUUUUUGGAUCAAAGUUAUUUUUCCAGAUUCGAUUUAGAUCAGAGUAUAAUCAAUAUGUCUGAAAUCAUCUAAAAAUAUUUUUUAAAAAACUUAAAUAACUAACAAAAAUAAUCAAAAUAUAUAAAUUAUUCAAAAAUCUAAUUAAAAACUAGUUAAAGUACCUAAACUAACUAAAAAUAUUCAAAAUAAAAAUAAAUAAACUACAAAAAAAAAUCUUUAAAAUACUCUAAACUAUCUAAAUAACAUUAAUAUAAUUAACAUACUUAACCAAUUUUAAAUAAUUUCAAAUCCUAAUUCAUAUUUCCUCAUUCCCGAAGUACGAAACUCUUAAGUGUAGUUCGAAUAUUUUCGUGUUACGGUUCAGAUGGAGUUUGGGUUUUAUCGGUUCAGGUUAAGGUCGGGGCUUCAGUUUGUGGUAAAAACACCCUGACCUAGGACUGCUAAUGAAACAUUCGAUUGGAUCCAUAAAUUCUUUUAAACUAUUAUAUGUAGUUUUUAUGAUCCUUUAAAUGUAAAAAUGAAGUUAUUAAAUUUGAUCUACUUUUACGUUAAUUCCAAAAAAGAUAUUACGAGUAAAAUUGAACUUAAUUAUUAGUAUAUGAAUAUAUGCUUGUGAUUAGUAGAAUAAAUAGGAAAAAAAUUGGUUGAAAACAGGUAAAUAGAAUUGUAGAAUAGUUUUUUUUUUCUAAUUCACUCUUCCAGUUCUUUUGAAGAAUAAUAAAUGAAUAUUUUCCUCCAAAAUUUGGUCAUACUUCCAAAUUCUAUAGUGGAAGAGUUGGUUUUUACACUUUUCAACUCUAACGCUGAUUUUUAAUAAUUUCUUAAUUCCACAAAAAAGAUUGGGGUAUAUUUUUUUUAAUAUAAAAUUGUUUAAUAUUCUCGAAAGCGCAUAAAGCGUUCAGCAUACAACGAGAAUCAACUACCCGAAAACACUUCGAGCUAACUCACAAACGGAUUACUUAGCUACCCCAAACCCAAGUCUAGGAAGGAUACACAGACGUAUAGUUUAUCGAAAUCCCGGGUCCGCCUUCCAUGUCGCUGGCUGGCUCGGUUAAUCGAGGUGGGAGUAUGAAGAUUCAACUUUCUCAUCAACGAAGCAACCUAAGCUAUCUCUGAAGCUUUAGCUUACCAUUAAAAACGGGUUUAAAUUGAAAGAUGUGCCAUAUCUUAGAGACCCGUAACCUGCACAAACUGAAAAGGAAAAACACUACCAACACAUAUCAAGGAGAUAUGUCGGUACUGGGAUGUGAAUUUCUAAGCUAAUGGAGUCACCGAGAAACCACGCAACCGUAGAACAACACGGCCACGCAAGGAUUCAUCGCCAAAAGCCCAACUCUGAGAACCGAAGCACAGUUCAGAUCAGUGACUGAGAGAAACAAACCGCUCCGGUGACAAUCAAAAAGGAAGAAAACGCCUAAGAGGAUCAGGCUUGCGCCCAUCGUCACUUACGGAAAGGCGAGAAAGACACGAACACACUGGUAGAGCUUGAAAAAAGGGCGGAGGGAUGAGAGAGCUUCAAAUGCCUAGCCAUAGACGACAAGACGAAACCAAGGCUCAACGUUCCAUCACGCGCCGGAGCCAGAGACCACGCGCCACCGAGUAAAAGGACCUCUUGUGCACCCUUAGACGAAGCCAGCAGGAGACCGGCAAACCGAGACGCCUCGGAGCAACCGCAUAUCCUACCAUCCUCCACUCUCGAAGAAACAGAGCCACAAACCCUACUGCUUGCCCCCAAUGAAAACUAGAUCUGUAAGGAGAAAACCCUAAAAGGCAACUCUACAUUAUGCCGCCACCAAAGUCACCUCCCCGUGACUCCAGGGAGGAGACGUUGCCACCGGAUAUGGGAUCCUCUCGAGCGGACCAGAAGACCGCCGAAUAAUCCCUCGUCAGAGCCAAAUGCAUAUAGGAGAGCCGGAGGUGAAGAGAGAGAAGCAUAGAAUGGAAAAAGAGUAGGAGCACCUCCGGUUCCGUCACAAAUUUAUAUUUAACAUAAACAGUAAAUGGUUAGAUGAAUAUUUAGUUCUACCAGUUUAGUUAGGGGUUGUGAAGAAGAGGGUUCUCUCUCUACUUUUAGAGAGAGAUAUUUUCUCUCGAAUCAUCCUUCUUACCUCAUCUCUAUCCUUCAGAAGGAUGAUUCGAAUCCCUCUACUUUUGUUUGUAAAAUAAUUUUCGAUCUCUGAAUCGAUUAUGUUUUCCGGUUUGCGGAUUUCUUGUUUCGCUUUAGGCGAUUUUGUUUUCUUAUGGCGAUUGUCUUGAUCGUUAGACGACUUUUGAUGUGUUCUUAAAGCUUCCUCCUUUUGUGAGUUCAUAUGUAUCCCGAUAGAUCUCCAAGAAACUCUCACUUUGGUAGAAAGCUUGGUUCUUGAUUCUGGAUGGGAAUCAAUCUUCGCUAUAGCUCAGGCGGAGUUUCCCAAAAGAUCAAGAUCUGAGAUGUGUUUAAGCUCGGACGAUUUGAAGCAGUUCCAGAUGAGGCGGAGCUUCCAGUAUAGGAAAGUGUUCCGGCAAGGUGCUGUAUUCGUUUCUCUCUCAAGCUUUUCUUGAAUUAACCUCUAGCAAGUGAUGAAGAGUUUCAUGGUGAAUCAAUGGCGAUUAGAAGAAGGAGCAGCGUACAAGCAAUACAAACGAAGUGAGAAGGGAGCUUGAUGGCUUCUCAUCCGGUGAUGAGCUCCGGCGGUGCAAUCUUUCUUCUUGCUUCUGAAGAGACGAAGCCACGCAAGCAGAACGUGUCAAACAUGCAGUAACCCUAAUCUUUUACGUUUGGGCUUUGUAUUGGGCCGAAUGUAAUAAUUUUUAGUUUGUAUGCUUGUAUAUUUGGCAUGUUGGGCUUCAAUAAUAAGAAGUUGACAAAAAAAAAAAAAAGUUCUACCAGUUUUUGUUUUUUAAACAUAUAAUCAUUUGGACCCUAUGGUAACUAAUAGCAAGAAGAAAAUAUUAUGUCGAGCAUCUCCACCGACAAAUGAGGUACAGCCAUUGCAUUGUACUUCCUGCACCUUUCUGCUGUAUCCCAUUGAGAAUGCUCGAUCGAGCUCGAUGCACUUCUCCGCAUCCUUUAAUCCUUCGGGCAUUGUUGACCCUAGUUUUGUGUUACACACAGCUCGAUUACUGUAUGCCUAUAUGAAAUUCAAAGCAAAAUAAAUAAUUCAAACAAUCAAAUAUUGAGCCUUUGUACAAAACAGUGACCCACAUAAGAUGAUUAGAAUUGGCCUUAGAGCAUCUCCAAUGGUGGAUUCACCAUUGGAGUCCUUAGGAGUAGUAUAUUAAUUUUUUUUUUUUUGUAAUAGUUAAAGACUCUUUUAGAAAAUGAUAGUCCAAUGGUAAUACUCAUUUAGGAAUCCUUACGAAUAACAUAAUAUUAAAUUUUAAAACAUGUAAAAUUGAAAAUUUUAUUUAUUAAAUGAAAUACAAUAAACAUAACAUAAUUUAAUAUUCAUCACCAAAUUUAGUCCAAACAUUUUCAAUUAAAUUGAUUUUCAAUUGAUUAUGUAUAUGCCUAUCGCGGAGAUGAUUCCGAAUCCCAAGCAUGUUCCCGAGAUUUGAAGGCAUCUCGGUACUAUAGGACAUAUCCACUUGUGAACUUCUUGAUGUCUCUCCUUCUUCAAAUUCAGUUGUAUGGUACUGAGUGUAUCAAUCCCAUUCAUCUUCGACAAUCAUAUUGUGUAGUAUGAUACAUGCUCGCAUAAUCUGCCCUAUCUUCGCCUUGUCCCAUAAAAGAGCCGGGUUUUUAACAAUAGCAGACCGAGCCUGCAAUACUCCGAAAGCCCGCUCCACAUCUUUUCAAGUUGAUUCUUGAACUUUAGUAAAUAACUCUGUUUUAGCACCUUGGGGGGAGUGAGAUAGAUUGGAUAAAUGUUGACCAUUUUUGAUAUAUACCGUCGGUGAGGUAAUACGCCAAAUCAUAUUGGUGUCUGUUGACGACGUACCGGACCCUUGGAGCUCGACCUUCC
rnacentral:lncRNA from 1 species